UUUGUUGCAGCUCGAAGAGCAGAUCGCGGCAUGUGGUCCUGACUCCUAAGUAGCGGCAAGUGAAGGGGGAAGAGCGUGGCCCCAUGCAAUCCCUUGCAUUAUGCGGUCCAUGUGUCUCGGAAGAUGUAGCCGUUUUCAAAGGGUGUCUAGUACUAUAGGGUGCGCGUAAAACUUAGAUGAAUAUUCUCGCGUCGGAACUUUGGGCUCGUAACCCUGUGAAAGAAAACUGUUGUCGUGUGUUGAUGUCAGUGUGAAGUCCAUAUUCUAGAGUGUCGUGGAUGUGUUGGCCCCCGCCUACGGGCUGUUUAUGAAACCUAUACUUGGUUGGUUGGUCCUCUAGUGACUUUGUUUUGCUGUUUCUUCUGUUUGUUUUUCUCUAUAAGCAAGUCUUGUUGUUAGUUGUUGUACCCAGAGUGUAGCCAAUCACCAUAUUUGGGCAUAUUAAACAUGUUGUUUCGGUCUGAAAUUUCAGCAUGGCCUUCUUAUAAGAGUACGACGGCACUUCCACGAGCAGUAGCCGGAGGAGGGGGAAAACAGAGGGGAUGGUCUGUGAGGUCACAUCCAGGGAUCACAAAGCUGUCGGUUCGCGAGACGACGUGAAGAGCAUCUCUGGGCUUGGGUAUGUUUGCAUUGGUAUGAAAAGUCUGGGCUAAUUAAGUCGCCAAUUACAGCUCCAACGAUGAUCGCUGGAACAUCAUACUACUCCUACUCCACAUAGUUAUUUAGACUACCCUGAAUCACCAACUGGGCAAGAGAACAUGUGGCCAUCUUCGUCUUUGUCCUGUAGUGGCUGAUCUCACCUAUUGCAAACCAUGUUCUGAUGUGAAACUUCGGGUCUUUGAUGGUAGUAGAAACUGGUGUUAUUCAUCACCAUGGCUAGCCGAUGCUCGUACGGCCUCCCUUCCAUGACUGCUAUCGCUUCUCAUGCUGGCUCGCCAACUAGGGUAUGGUUGGUUGAUGAAAGAAAAACUCUAUCACACACCAAAUUUAGAUCCCGCUUUCUUAUAUAUGUGCAAAUUUUUUGGUACAACCAUGCUCCACAUCGAACUCUAUCUUAUUUUUCCAGAGUGGAGGAAGGGGACACUUUGUGGGACUUUCAGUAGAAAAUUGUCCAUACAGAUAGAAGCACCUAUUAAAAAGAUACUCCAAAGGCUUCCGGAUCAUAGUCUCAUUAGCUGAAGAACACCCAUGCUAAUCUAUAUUAAGUGCAUUCAAAUCAUGCCUUUAUUAACUAGUCCAAGGCCUCAUCAGCCACAACAUCAUAAAUACAAAGAGGAAAAAUAUGAAACCAAGUUUUACACAAAUUAUUGGGGCAACCUUCCCUUGCCAUGAUGGAAUUAGCCCUAUUAGUUGUUCUUCUAUUCCACUUCACCCGAUGCUCUUCUAAAGCAAAUAACAAGUCCAUUAUGUNNNNNNNNNNNNNNNNNNNNNNNNNNNNNNNNNNNNNNNNNNNNNNNNNNNNNNNNNNNNNNNNNNNNNNNNNNNNNNNNNNNNNNNNNNNNNNNNNNNNNNNNNNNNNNNNNNNNNNNNNNNNNNNNNNNNNNNNNNNNNNNNNNNNNNNNNNNNNNNNNNNNNNNNNNNNNNNNNNNNNNNNNNNNNNNNNNNNNNNNNNNNNNNNNNNGUUAGUCUACAGAGUUCAGCGUUAUAGCCACACCCUGAUUGUCAUUAAUGAAUACAAUUGUUUGGUCAAAUAUGUUGUUUGAGAGUAGUUCAUGAUGGCCUUUCUAGUUGGAGAGAAUAAUUCUUUCCUUGAUGAUUUCUCUUACAAAGAUCAAGCAUAUAUAUCGAGGGAGAGAGAACCCACUCCCCUGGAACGUAGGCAUGCAGGCCAUGAGAACUAGGAGAUCCUAACAAUGGUGCAUAGACGUCCUGCACAAACGGUUCUCCGUGUUAUGGCAGGUUACAUUCUCAUGUUUUUUACUUUACAGUGCUUACAAGUUGAGAUUUGAAAAAAUCUAGCCUAGAACAUAAGUCAUCAAAACUCAUGGCAUUUUGAAACUUUAGUCAUAAAAAGAUAUCAAAUAUCAGACACAAAAAGGGAGUGCUAGACAAAAACGCAAAAAGAAUGAAAAUAAAGAAGUGGCACAAUAGUUACCGAGCGUUGAUAUGUCUCCAACGUAUCUAUAUUUUUUAUUGUUCCAUAAUAUUAUAGCCCGACAGCCCCAUCCUCUACUCCAUCGAUGCGUCCACUGGGCGAGAUCGGUGGUGUGCCAUCUGAGGGAGUCCCGGAUUAGGGGGUGUUCGGAUGACCUGACUAUGACCUUUGGCCGGACUCCUGGGCUAUGAAGAUACAAGAUUGAAGACUUCGUCCCGUGUCCGGAUGGGACUUUCCUUGGCGUGGAACGCAAGCUUGGCGCGGAUAUGUAGAUCUUCUCCCAUUGUAACCGACUAUGUGUAACCCUAGCCCUCUCCAGUGUCUAUAUAAACCGGAGGGUUUUAGUCCGUAGGACGAACAACAAUCAUACCAUAGGCUAGCUUCUAGGGUUUAGCCUCUCUGAUCUCGUGGUAGAUCUACUCUUGUACUACCCAUAUCAUCAAUAUUAAUCAAGCAGGAGUAGGGUUUUACCUCCAUCGAGAGGGCCCGAACCUGGGUAAAAACAUCAUGUCCCUUGUCUUCUGUUACCAUCCGCCUAGACGCACAGUUCGGGACCCCCUACCCGAGAUCCGCCGGUUUUGACACUGACAUUGGUGCUUUCAUUGAGAGUUACUCUGUGUCAUCAUCUUUAGGCCCGAUGGCUCCUCCGAUAAUCAACAACGAAGCGGUCCAGGGUGAGACUUUUCUCCCUGGACAGAUCUUCGUAUUCGGCGGCUUUGCGCUGCGGGUCAAUUCGCUUGGCCAUCUGGAGCAGAUCGAAAGCUACGCACCUGGCCAUCAGGUCAGAUUUGGAAGUUUAAACUACACGACCGACAUCCGCGGAGACUUGAUCUUCGACGGAUUCGAGCCACAGCCGGGCGCGCCGCACUGUCACGAUGGGCAUGAUGUAACUCUGCCACCGAACAGUGUCCAGGAGGCCGCCCCAGCGUCCGCUCCGACCCUUAGCUCGAAGCCGACUACGCCAAUCGAGGACGGGUGGCUGGACACCGCCUCGGGGGCUGCAAUCCCUACGGCGAUCGAGCCGAAUACCAGCCUUGUCCUUUACGAAGCUCGUGACUCCCAGGUGCCGGACUCCUUUCCAGACUCCAAACCUUCCGCGCCCCUGCCGAUCGAACCCGAUUGGGCGCCGAUCAUGGAGUUUGCUGCCGCAGACAUCUUUCAGCACUCGCCCUUCGGCGACAUUCUGAAUUCACUAAAGUCUCUCUCUUUAUCAGGAGAGCCCUGGCCGGACUAUGGUCAGCGAGGUUGGGAUGCGGACGACAAAGAAAUUCAAAUCCCACCCAUCACCCACUUCAUAGCUACUGUCGAUGAUUUAACCAACAUGCUCGACUUCGACUCCGAAGACAUCGACGGUAUGGAUGCUGAUGCAGGAGACGACGAAGAACCAGUGCCUAUAGGGCACUGGAAGGCCACCUCAUCAUAUGACAUAUACAUGGUGGACACCCCAAAAGAAGGGAAUGGCGAUGGAACAACGGAGGUUGACCCCUCCAAGAAGCAGCCUAAGCGCCGGCAUCAGCGGCGCCGCUCUAAAUCCCGCCCAAGCAAAAACGAUGAUUUCGGCACGGGAGAUAAUAACACCCCGGACAGUGCCGAAGACAACCCCCUCCAGCAGGAUUCAGCACAGGAGGAUGGAGAAGCCAGCCCUCAUGAGAGAGCGGCAGACAGAGAGGUAGAGGACGAUAAUCACAUGCCACCCUCCGAAGACGAGGCAAGCCUCGACGACGACGAAUUUAUUGUGCCUGAGGAUCCCGUCGAACAAGAGCGUUUCAAACGCAGGCUUAUGGCCACGGCGAGCAGCCUCAAGAAAAAACAGCAGCAGCUUAGAGCUGACCAAGACUUGCUACCCGACAGAUGGACUGAAGUCCUUGCAGCCGAAGAGUACGAACUCAAACGCCCCUCCAAGAGCUACCCAAAGCGUAGGCUGCUAUACCAAUUAGAGGAGGAAGCACCUAAACCUACAUCACCAGCGCACGACGCGGCAGACCGGCCACCUCGUGGCCACGACAGAGAGGCCUCUUGGCCAUCCUCUCAAGCCGCACCCCGGCGUUGCUCAAAAAAUACCAAGGCACGGGGAAAGGCGCCAGACCUGCGAGAUAUAUUGGAGGACAAGGCAAGGCAAACAAGGUCGAUCUCCGGAUCGCGUGGGCGCCCCACGACACGUAACGAUAACCGUCAUGCCGGAUAUGGCAAAUACGGCCAGGCCAAACACAGCAGACAAAGCUCAUUUGAGCUACGACGUGAUAUAGCCCAGUACAGAGGCGCCGCACACCCACUAUGCUUCACAGAUGAAGUAAUGGAUCAUCAAAUCCCCUAGGGUUUUAAACCCGUAAACAUCGAAUCAUACGAUGGCACAACAGAUCCUGCGGUAUGGAUCGAGGACUAUCUCCUUCAUAUCCACAUGGCCCGCGGUGAUGACCUACACGCUAUCAAAUACCUCCCAAUCAAGCUUAAAGGACCAGCUCGGCAUUGGCUCAACAGCUUGCCAAUAGAGUCAAUUGGUUGCUGGGAGGACCUGGAAGCCGCAUUCCUCGACAAUUUCCAGGGCACCUAUGUGCGACCACCAGACGCCGAUGACCUAAGCCACAUCAUUCAGUAGCCAGAGGAAUCGGCCAGACAAUUCUGGACACGGUUCUUAACCAAGAAAAAUCAAAUAGUCGACUGUCCGGACGUAGAGGCCCUCACAACCUUCAAACAUAGCAUCCGUGACGAAUGGCUUGCCCGGCACCUAGGACAGGAAAAGCCGAAAUCCAUGGCAGCCCUCACAACACUCAUGACCUGCUUUUGCGCGGGAGAAGACAACUGGCUAGCUCGUAGUAAUAACAUGACCAAGAGCCCUGGUAAUUCGGAUACCAAGGACAACAAUGGCAGGUCGCGUCGCAACAAAUACAAGCGCCGCAUUAAUGGCGACAAUACUGAGGAUACGACAGUCAAUGCCGGAUUCCGAGGCUCCAAACCCGGUCAGCGGAAAAAGCCAUUCAAAACAAGUACUCCGGGCCCGUCCAAUUUGGACCGAAUACUCGAUCGCUUGUGCCAGAUACACGGCACCCCCGAAAAACCAGCCAAUCACACCAACAGGGAUUGUUGGGUGUUCAAGGAGGCAGUCAAGUUAAGCGCCGAAAACAAAGACAAGGGGCUGCAUAGCAAUGACGAGGAGGAGCCCCGACCGCCGAACAAUAGGGGACAGAAGGGCUUUCCCCCACAAGUGCGGACGGUGAACAUGAUAUACGCAACCCACAUCCCCAAAAGGGAACGGAAGCGUGCACUCAGGGACGUAUAUGCGUUGGAGCCAGUUGCCCCAAAGUUCAACCCAUGGUCCUCCUGCCCGAUCACUUUUGAUCGAAGGGACCACCCCACUAGCAUCCGCCACGGCGGAUUCACCGCGUUGGUUCUAGACCCAAUCAUUGACGGAUUUCACCUCACUAGAGUCCUUAUGGACGGCGGCAGCAGCCUGAACCUGCUUUAUCAGGAUACAGUGCGAGAAAUGGGCAUAGAUCCCUCAAGGAUUAAACCCACAAAGACGACCUUUAAAGGCGUCAUACCAGGUGUAGAGGCCCACUGUACAGGCUCAGUUACACUCGAAGUGGUCUUCGGAUCCCCGGAUAAUUUCCGAAGCGAGGAGUUAAUCUUCGACAUAGUCCCGUUCCGCAACGGCUAUCACGCGCUGCUUGGACGAACCGCAUUUGCAAAGUUCAAUGCGGUGCCGCACUACACAUAGCUCAAGCUCAAGAUGCCAGGCCCUCGAGGAGUCAUUACGGUUAAUGGAAACACCGAACGCUCUCUCCGAACGGAGGAGCAUACGGCGGUCCUCGCGGUGGAAGUACAAAGUAGCCUCUCAAGGCAAUUCUCCAGUCCAGCUAUUAAACGUCCAGACACCGUCAAGCGCGCCCGGAGUAACCUACAGCAAGACCACCUGGCACGUUCCAAACAAGUGUAGCAGUGCGGCCCCGACCCCAGCCCUCGCGAAAUUGCGAAACCAGUACCACGCGUACAUAAUUACGCUCUGGAAAUAUCAUGGGCAUAGGGGGAGGGGCACAACCAUGGCACGCCCAAAAUGCGGCUCAACCGCACUAGGGGCUCCCAAUUUUGUCAUUUAUUUUUUCUUACUUUGAGGACUCCAUUCUCCGGAAGGCCUGUCCGACAGUACAAUCGCCGAACACACGAUGCAACAGCCAGGGAGGCAGCAAGCUACGUCAAAUAUCCAGGUGGUCUCUAUAACGAGCUAAAUACAUGUCUUACAUAAAGUCUCGCAGCUUGCCCUUGGAGGGGGACAUGUCAAAUAAUCACAUCUCUUGCUUAUCGCACUAUUUGUAUCGUUCUGCUUUCACAGCAACCUUUUAAUAUACAAUGCAUAGCUCUUGUCUAUUAUUGCAUUCAUUUUUUAUGUAAAUAUGUUCAGUCAUGACAUUAUGCAACCGUACACUUUGGUACGGCCAACACACCAGGGGCUUAAGUACUCCAGAAUAUGGUGUGAGAAGUCCGAACACUCUCACGAGUGCGGCACCCCGAACUUAUAGCAUUAUAUGCAUCGGCUCUGAAUCAUGUCUUGGGUCAAUAGUUGGGUUUGCCCGGCUCCCAUGUUUUGGUACCUUACGUUCCGUUAUAUCGGCUAAGGUAGCGCUGGGAGAACUACUGCAAUUGUGCCCCAGUUGAGCUGGGUUAAGCACCUCAGUAGACAAAGCUAAAACUGACCGUCAUGAUAGGGCGAGAGCCGGUCGCUGUUCGAGAGGUUUCGAGUCCCUAAACACUUAUGCCGCUUAGAGCGAGGAGCUGGCUUUGUCCGGCCUAGGCGUGGAUAGCGCCCCAAACUCGGUCUUCCGAAUACUAGGGGCUUCGCCGAAAUUUAAAAUUGUAGAAUUCUGUGGCUAAGUGAGAGUGAUAAAGCAUUACAGUCCGAUUGCCUUGUUCGUUGUGCUGAGCGCCUCCCUCGAAGGACCCAAUAAUGGGAACAAGAGCGCUCAGGUUUAUCCCGAACACCCCAGCACUCGUGGCAUGGGGGUAGAAGCCGACGACUCGCCAUCUCUCAGAUUUGAUAAAUGGCCGCACAAAAGGUAAUAUUGUAAAUUCAAAAAGCAUUGCUUAGUGCAUAUGAACAAGUCAUCAGCACACAGGAUAACACGAGCGAGUUUACUCAAAUAUUACAUAUUUGGAACAUUCAUUCGCCACAAGGAGGGCACCCUUCAAGAUGCCCUCAUAAUACAUCUCGGGCAUGCGAUGCUCCUUCCCCUCCGGUGGCCCAUCUGUCACCAGCUUCUCAGCAUCCAGCUUGCCCCAGUGUACUUUAGCACGGGCAAGGGCCCUACGGGAGCCUUCGAUGCAUACGGAGCGCUUGAUGACUUCAAGCCGUGGACAGGCAUCCACCAGCCGCCUCACCAGCCCAAAGUAGCUCCCGGGCAUGACCCCCCCAGGCCAUAGCCGGACUAUUAGGCCCUUCAGGGCCUGUUCGGCUACCUUAUGGAGCUCGACCAACUACUUCAGCUGGUCGCUCAAGGGCAUCGGGUGUCCAGCCUCAACAUACUGGGACCAGAACACCUUGUCCGUCGAGCUCCUUUCCUCGGCUCGGUAGAAUGCGGCAGCGUUGGACACACUGCGGGGCAGAUCUGCGAAUGCUCCUGGAGAGCUCCAGACUCGGGUAAGUAACAAGUAAUUCACUUUCACGUGCUUGCUUUGCAUAAAGAAUGUCUUACCUGCCGCUAUCUUCUUCAUCGCCUCAAUUUCCUGGAGGGCUUUUUGGGCUUCGGCCUUGGCAGAUUUGGCGCUUUCAAGAGCCGAGGCAAGCUCGGACUCUCGAGUCUUUGAGUCAAGCUCCAAACUCUCGUGUUUUUUCACAAGAGCGUGGAGCUCUUGCUGCACCUCCUCCACUCGCGCUCCUACUUUUCUUGCUCGAUGCGCACCAUGGCCGCAUUGUCUUCGGCCUUGGACAGCGCUUCCUUCAGGGUCGCCACCUCGGUUGUGGCCCCUAUAACACUCACGUUGGUCCUGUCACUAUUUGCAACCAGGUAUUUUUAUAUACUUACAUAAGGUACUACUUACCUUCCUUGUCCUCAAGCUGCUUCUUGGCAAGGCCGAGCUCGUUCUCGGACCGCUCGAGGCUCUUCUUCAAUGCAUCGACCUCCGCAGUCAGUGCGGUAGAGGUCAGCAGCGCAGCCUGCAUUCCCAUCUUGACAUAUUUAUCUUAGAGUCCUGCAUAUAUCUUUUUAGAUCCUCAGUCUGGAUUUUCUUUCCGAACACCAAACUGAGCAUCAGGGGCUAAUGUCUAUGCGGUAAUAUUUUUACAUGUCUUAAAUACAUACCUCAAAGCCUGUUAGAAUGCUGGCACAGGCUUCUGUCAGCCCGCUCUUGGCGGACUGAACCUUCUGGAUCACCACACUCAUAAUAGUGAGGUGCUCCUCGUCGAUGGAGGCGCCGUUAAGCACCUCCAGCAAAUUGUCCGGUGCCUCCGGUUGGAUGGAGGACACCGGCGUCGUAGGCUUGCCCUUCUUACGAGGGGGCCGCCUGCCGGACUCCGGAACCACUGAGGGUUCCGGUGCGGUGUCCGGCCCAUGGCCGGACUUAGAUCCCUCUGGGGUUUCAUCCCCUUUGCGCCUGGAGCCCGGGAGGUCGCCUUGCGGCGCCUCCAGGACCACCCCCUCCUGGCUUAGCCCCUUUUGGGACUUCACCUCGGCAUCGUCCGCGGGGUGAGGGGAGGUAGCAGUCGGGAGUGAAAGACUAUUCACAUCCGACGAAUCCAGGGAGCCGCUCGAUGAAGCAUCGAGCUGGGCCUUGGGCGGACUACAUGAUUAUAUUCGGCGUCAGAAGAUACGGUGCAAUAAAGGAACACCAUGAUUUAUUCUGGUAUCCGGAUACUUACGAUUUUGCCAGGGGCUUGGCCCUGGACGGCCACUCCUCUCCGCCUUCAUUGGCGCUGGUGGAGUAGUCCGGAAGAAGGGUCUUUCUCUUCUUGGACCCUCCGGCCUUCCCAGUUUGGGCGGCCUUCCUUUUCUUUCCUCCCCCCGUUGGAGGGGGACAGGCUUCUUCUUCCUCCUCCUCGUUUUCGGGGGAGGAGUGCGCUUCGGGGUCGUCAGGCGAUGAAUCCGACACCACCAGGCGCCAGGAACUCUUUCGAGUUCCCGUGGACUUAUUCUUGGCCUUCUUCUUCGGCACCAUGUGAGGUGUCGGGACCAGCAGCUUCGCCAAGCGUGCGUCUACUAGGCCUUCGGGCAAAGGAGCCGGACAGUCAAUCUGUCCGGACGUCUUCUUCCAGUCAUGUCAAAGGAGCGGGAGCUUAGAUCCCGCGUAGAGUCAAACUAUUAAAAACAAGUAUCCUGUAAAGGGUAAAACAAGCUUACUGCGCUGGCUUGGCGCUUCGCGCAGAAUCCGCGAUCCUCGGUAAUGGGAGGGGAAACCUCGGAGCCCUUGAAUAGCACCUUCCAGGCGUCUUCGUGCGUUGUGUCAAAGAGCCUGGACAAAGUUUGAUGUUGGGCCGGGUCGAACUCCCACAAGUUAAAAGCCCGUCGUUGACACGGGAGGAUCCGGCGGAAGAGCAUGACCUGGACUACGUUGACAAGUUUAACCUUCUUGUCCACCAGGUUUUGGACCCAGGUUUGGAGUCCGAUCACCUCUUCCCCCACGACAGGCCCAUCCCUUUCCAGGAGGUGAGACAUGUGGGGAUGCCAGAUUGGAAUUCGGGGGCCGCUGCCCAUUCAGGGUCACGCGGCUCGGUGAUGUAGAACCACCCCGAUUGCCACCCUUUGAUGGUUUCCACAAAGGAGCCCUCGAGCCAUGUGACGUUGGGCAUCUUGCCCACCAUGGAGCCUCCGCACUCCGCUUGCCGGCUGCCCACAACCUUCGGCUUGACAUUGAAGGUCUUCAGCCAUAAGCCGAAGUGGGGCUUGAUGCGGAGGAAGACCUCGCACACGACGAUAAACGCUGAGAUGUUAAGGAUGAAGUUCGGGGCCAGAUCGUGGAAAUCCAGGCCGUAGUAGAACAUGAGCCCCCGAACAAAUAGGUGGAGUGGGAAACCCAGUCCGCGAAGGAAAUGGGGGAGGAACACCACCCUCUCAUGGGGCCUGGGGGUGGGGAUGAGCUGCCCCUCGUCUGGAAGCUGGUGCGCAAUGUCGUUGGACAAGUAUCCGGCCUUCCUCAACUUUUUGAUGUGCCCCUCCGUGACGAAGGAGGCGAUCCACCGGCCUCCCGCUCCGGACAUGGCUGGAGAAGGUCGAGGUGGGAAGUGCGGACUUGGGCGCUAGAGCUCGAGUGCGCGGAAAUGGAUAAGCGAAGGAGGAAGAGGGCGUGGAUGGAAAAGGUGGAUCCUUAUCCCCUUAUAUGAGCGGACGAAACUGUGUGCCCCCACCAGCCUGGUAAAACUCUCUUAUCUCCCAAGUGCCGUGAUUAAUGGCACGGUUGGGUUACCCACGCCCGUAUUGAUGAGAAUCCCGGAAUAAGGGGACAUGAUCUCUGCUUUGACAAGACGUGCCAAGGAAACCGCCUCGCUGAACGCGCUGAGGUGGGACAAUAAAACGAUUCGAAUGAAGGCUUGGCCGUCGGAUGAUGUCACGCUACGGAAUACGUCAGCAGAUUAGAUUUGUACAAACAUUAUUCUCUCUACGCUGGUAUGUGGAACUUAUUUUGCAGAACCGGACACUAUCCUUGUGUUCAAAAUCUUCUAUGAAGUAUUCGGAGGAGGAACCCGCCUUGCAAUGCCGAAGACAAUUUGCACGCCGGACUCGUCGUCAUUGAAGCCUAGUUCAGGGGCUACUGAGGGAGUCCCGGAUUAGGGGGUGUCCGGAUGACCAAACUAUAACCUUUCGCCGGACUCCUGGGCUAUGAAGAUACAAGAUUGAAGACUUUGUCCCAUGUCCGGAUGGGACUUUCCUUGGUGUGGAAGGCAAGCUUGGCGAUACGGAUAUGUAGAUCUCCUCCCAUUGUAACCGACUCUGUGUAACCCUAGCCCUCUCUGGUGUCUAUAUAAACCAGAGGGUUUUAGUCCGUAGGACGAACAACAAUCAUACCAUAGGCUAGCUUCUAGGGUUUAGCCUCUCUGAUCUCGUGGUAGAUCUACUCUUGUACUACCCAUAUCAUCAAUAUUAAUCAAGCAGGAGUAGGGUUUUACCUCCAUCGAGAGGGCCCAAACCUGGGUAAAAACAUCGUGUCCCUUGUCUCCUGUUACCAUCCGCCUAGAUGCACAGUUCGGGACCCCCUACCAGAGAUCCGCCGGUUUUGACACCGACACCAUCCUCACAUUAGGGGGUUCAACCCCCCAUCUCAACUGCGAUUCCUGGAUCAUCAGGGACACCUCCUCUCCACUCCAUCUCCCACAUGAUGGCCACUCUAGCACUAGAUACUUAAUGAGUGAUGGUGGUUCACAUUUUAUUCAUGGUGUUUUUCGUAAAAUGCUUGCUAAGUAUGAUGUUAAUCAUAAAAUUGCAUCUCCAUACCAUCCACAGUCUAGCGGUCAAGUAGAAUUGAGUAAUAGAGAGAUUAAAUUGAUCUUGCAAAAGACUGUUAAUAGAUCUAGAAAGAAUUGGUCCAAGAAACUUGAUGAUGCAUUAUAGGCCUAUAGAACUGCAUAUAAAAAUCCUAUGGGUAUGUCUCCGUAUAAAAUGGUUUAUGGAAAGGCAUGUCACUUACCUCUCGAACUAGAACAUAUGGCAUAUUGGGCCACUAAAGAGCUCAAUUAUGAUUUCAAACAUGCUGGUGAGAAGAGGCUUUUUGACAUUAUCUCACUUGGUGAAUGGGGAACCCAUGCCUAUGAGAACGCCAAACUAUUUAAGAAAAAGUUAAAAGGUGGCAUGACAAAAAGAUACAAACGCGGGAGCUUAAUGUAGGUGAUUAUGUUUUGCUAUACAACUCUCGUUUAAGAUUUUUUGCAGGAAAACUUCUCUCUAAAUGGGAAGGUCCUUACGUUAUCGAGGAGGUCUAUCGUUCCGGUGCCAUCAAAAUCAACAACGCUGAAGGCACAAAUCCGAAGGUGGUGAACGGUCAAAGAAUCAAACAUCAUAUCUUAGGUAAUCCCAUAAAUGUUGAAACCAAUGUUAUUGACACCGUAACCCCGGAGGACUACAUAAGGGACACUUCCCAAAAUGUUUCAGACUCCAAAAGGAAUAGGUAUGUGGUACGGUAAGUAAACUGACUCCAAAACAAUUAUAAUAGCAAAUUUUCUCUGUUUUGGAAUAUUUAAAAAAUUAGGAAAAUAAGAAGUAGUCCGAAGGAGACACGAGGCAUCCACGAGGGUGGAGGGCGUGCCCUACCCCCUGGGCGCGCCCCCUGCCUCGUGGACACCUCGUGUGCCCUCCGGAUUCCGUUUUCUUGCACGAUACUUCUUUUUGUCGGUAAAAAUUCAUUAUAUAAUCUCCCAAAGGUUUUGACCAUCGAACCAUGACAAAAUCAUCUGCUUUUGUUUCGAGCUGUUUUUCUGACAGAUCUAGAUCACCAUGACGUCUUCAAGCGCCCCCAAGGACAUGUUUUCAAGUGCCAAGGGAUGGUGGAACACGGACUCAACGCCAACCACAUGAUGGUCGCGGAGUUCACCAACAACCACAAGUUGGAUGCCAAGAACAUUGGGGAGACCAUCUUCAAGCUUCAUGAGAAAAUCGAGCACCUCCAAGCCUAGAUCUAUGACUUGCAAAACCAAAACUGUGAGUAUGAAUAUAGAUUCAAGAGGAUGAGUUUGGCUGCAGAUUUGAGGAUCCCGGAGACUCAAUCAUCCUUCUAUGAUGGUGAGCCUAUGCCCUGGAAGAUGGACCACAAGCCUACAUCAUCAACAACUCCAGCAUCACCACCCCAAGAAAGAGACAUAAACACAUGGGUAUGGGAACUCCCCUUGGCAACUACUAAGCUUGGGGGAGCUGCCCCGGUAUCGUAUCACCAUCACAUUUCUAUCUUUACCGUUUUUCUUAGUUCGGUCCUUUUGGUUAUAUCUUGAUCUAGUAGAAUAAAGUUUUAGUUCGAUCUAGCUUUGAUUUUUGUGUUGAUACCUAUCUAUGUAAUCGAUUCCAUGAGCUAUAUAUAAUAAAGAUUAGUUUUGAGUUGAGGGCUUUGCUAUCUUGCUAUGAUAUUGAGGGAAUAAAAGAAAAAGAAAGAAUAAAAAUAAAUAAAAAGAUCAUAUUGACCUUUUGGGGAGUAAUGACUUUACACAUAAAGAGUAUGAUGAAUAAAAGUUGUUGAGAGUUGACAAACAUAGUUUUGGUCAUCGUGGCAAUUAAUAGGAAGUAAUAAACAAAGAGAGGUUUUCACAUAUAAAUAUACUAUCAUGGACAUCUUUUAUGAUUGUGAGCACUCAUUAAAAUAUGAGAUGCUAAAAAGUUGAUGUUGGACAAGGAAGACAACAUAAUGAGUUAUGUUUGCUUAUAUCCUAAAUAAAUUAUAUUGUCAUGGAUCAUCCAACAUGUUGAACUUGCCUUUCCCCCUCAUGUUAGCCAAAUUCUUUGAACCAAGUAGAGAUACUACUUGUGCUUACAAACAUCCCUAAACCCAGUUUUGUCAUGAGAGUCCACCAUACCUACCUAUGGAUUGAGUAAGAUCCUUCAAGUAAGUUGUCAUCGGUGCAAGCAAUAAAAAUUUCUCUCUAAAUAUGUAUGAUCUAUUAGUGUGGAGAAAAUAAGCUUUAUACGAGCUUGUGAUACGGAAGAAAUAAAAGCGACGGACUGCAUAAUAAAGGUCCAUAUCACAAGUGGCAACAUUAAGUGACGUUCUUUUGCAUUAAGAUUUUGUGCAUCCAACCAGAAAAGCGCCUAUCUUUUAUUUUUACCUUCUACCCUUAUACAAGAGUCUUGGUGAUCUUCACCUUUCCUUUUUAUACUUUAUCCUUUGGCAAGCUCUGUGUGUUGGAAAGAUCCUGAUAUAUAUAUAUUUAUAUUUAUAUAUAUAUAUAUAUAUAUCCAAUUGGAUGUGGGUUUUCAUAAAGUAUUAUUGUUGACAUUACCCUUGAGGUAAAAGGUUGGGAGGCGAAAGUAUAAGCCCCUACCUUUCUCUCUGUCCGAUUGAAACUUCAUACUCAUAAGUAUCGCGUGAGUGUUAGCAAUUGUGAAAGAUUAAAUGAUAAUUGAGUAUUUGGACUUGCUGAAAAGCUCUUAUAUUGACUCUUUCCGAUGUUAAGAUAAAAUUGCAAUUGCUUCAAUGACUGAGAUUAUAGUUUGCUAGUUUGCAAUGAAGUUUCUGAUUCAUACUUUACAUUGUGAAUAGAUUGUUACUUUAGCAUAAGAAAUCAUAUGAAACUAUAUAUGUUGUUGUUCUAAGAAUGAUCAUGAUGCCCUCAUGUCCGUAUUUUAUUUAAUCGUCACCUCUAUCUCUAAACAUGUGGACAUAUUUUUCGAUAUCGGCAUCCGCUUGAGGACAAGCGAGGUCUAAGCUUGGGGGAGUUGAUACGUCCAUUUUGCAUCAUGCUUUUAUAUCAAUAUUUAUUGCAUUAUGGGCUGUUACUACACAUUAUGUCACAAUACUUAUGCCUUUUCUCUCUUAUUUUACGAGGUUUACAUGAAGAGGGAGAAUGCCGGCAGCUACAUUCUGGGCUGGAAAAGGAGCAAAUAUUAGAGGCCUAUUCUGCACAACUCGAAAAGUCCUGAAACUCCAGGAAAGUCAGUUUUGGAAUAUAUUAAAAAUAUUGGGCGAAGAAAGCACCAGAGGGGGGCCACCCACCGUCCACGAGGGUGGAAGGCGUGCCCUACCCCCUGGUUGCGCCCCCUGCCUCAUGGGCCACCUGGCAGGCCCCCGAUGCCCAUCUUCUCCUAUAUGGUGUCUUUUGCCCUGGAAAAAAAAUCAUAAGGUAGAUUUCGGGACGAAGCGCCGCCGUCUUGAGGCGGAACCUUGGUGGAACCAAUCUAGGGCUCCGGUGGAGCUGUUCGGCCGGGGAAACAUCCCUACGGGAGGGGGAAAUCAUCACCAUCGUCAUCACCAUGGAUCCUCUCAUCGAGAGGGGCCAAUCUCCAUCAACAUCAUCACCAACACCAUUUCCUCUCAAACCCUAGUUCAUCUCUUGUAUCCGAUCUUUGUCUCAAAACCUCAGGUUGGUACGUGUGGGUUGCUAGUAGUGUUGAUUACUCCUUGUAGUUGAUGCUAGUUGGUUUAUUUGGUGGAAAAAUCAUAUGUUCAGAUCCUUUAUGCAUAUUAAUACCCCUAUGAUUAUGAACAUGAAUAUGAUUUGUGAGUAGUUAUUUUUGUUCCUGAGGACAUGGGAGAAGUCUUGUUAUAAGUAGUCAUGUGAAUUUUGUAUUCUUUGAUAUUUUGAUGAGCUGUAUGUUGUCUCUCCUCUAGUGGUGUUAUGUGAACAUCGACUACAUGAUAGUUCACCAUUGUUUGGGCCUAGGGGAAGGCAUUUGGAAGUAAUAAGUAGAUGAUGGGUUGCUAGAGUGAUAGAAGCUUAAACCCUAGUUUAUGCGUUGCUUCAUAAGGGGCUGAUUUGGAUCCAUAUGUUUCAUGCUAUGGUUAGGUUUACCUUAAUUCUUCUUUCAUAGUUGCAGAUGCUUGCGAGAGGGGUUAAUCAUAAGUGGGAUGCUUGUCAAAGGAAGGGCAGUACCCAAGCACUGGUCCAACCACAUAUCAAAUUAUCAAAGUAACGAACGUGAAUCAUAUGAGCAUGAUGAAAACUAGCUUGACGAUGAUUCCCAUGUGUCCUCGGGAGCGCUUUGCUUUAUAUAAGAGUUUGUCCAGGCUUGUACUUUGCUACAAAAAGGAUUGGGCCACCUUGUUGCACCUUGUUACUUUUGUUACUUGUUACCCGUUACGAACUAUCGUAUCACAAAACUAUCUGUUACCAAUAUUUCAGUGCUUGCAGAGAAUACCUUACUGAAAACUGCCUGCCAUUCCUUCUAUUCCUCAUUGGGUUCGACACUCUUACUUAUUGAAAGGACUACGAUAGAUCCCCUAUAGAUGUGGGUCAUCAAAUAGUACAUAACAUAACUUGAGCUUUAGAUUUGGCUCAUUAUCACACUGAUGUCAAAUUUAUCAUUUUUGUAUCUUAAAAAUGUUAUAAACUUUAAUACAAAAUUUUUGUGACAUCAUACAUUGAUGUGCGUUAAUGUGCUAGAUUUUUUUUACUUUUUAAAAUGUUCUAUAGCAUCCGGUGCACCGGUAGCACCAUUACUGCGGGUGCAUAGGAUACAUCCCCGCGAGCGAUCCGUGGAUGGCUUGGUGCGGACGGGCGCGUGCGGUUGCCGAUCCAUAUAUUCCUGAACUCGGAUCUAGACACAAGAUCCUCCGUUGCAUGCCACAUCCAUGGCUCUAGUGAACCAGAUCCGCACAUGUGAUAUGUCUCCAACAUAUUUACUUUUUGUUUUGGCCUCUAAUUUAUAUGAUUUGAAUGAAACUAACCCAAACUAACGCUGUUUUAAGUAGAACUACCUUGAUGUUAUUUUUUGUGUAGAAAUAAAAAUCUCAUAAUUGGACGAAACUUCGUAGAGAUUUUUUAUGGAAUAAAUAAAAAAUACCGGAGCAUCGGCAUCCGUACCAAGAAAAUAAGAGAGAAAGUAAUUUGGGAGCUGCCACCAUCUCUUGUCUUCAUUGGGAGCCCUGAUCUGGAGUCCAUUCCUAGCUCCGGAGAGAGGGAUUCGUCGUGGUUGUAAUCACCAACCCUUCUCCAUCAAUAAUUUCCUGAUUCUCACCACCAAGAGUGUGUAAUCCCUUUCAGGCAUACUAGAGGUAGAGUAAGAUGAAUGAGAUUUCCUAUGUAAUCAUGUCAAUUUGUUAGGGCUUGAUCCCUAGUAUGCACUAUGUUCUGAGAUUGAAGUUGUUAUGACUUUCUUAUACUUAAUGCUUGUCAGUACGGCCCGAGUGUCAUAAUUUCAGAUCUGAACACUUAUGCUUCUAUGAAUAUAUUUGACAUGCUGAUCUUACCUGCAAGUUGUAUACACCUGUUAUCAUUCCAAACCUUAGACUUCCAAGUUGACCAUUGAAAGUGCUAGUUAUCGACUAGAGGGGGGGGUGAAUAGGCAAUUUUUAUAAAAGUCUUCAAAACAUGCAAUGUCUUCGAAAACGCGGAAGAAAAACAAUCACUAAACAGGAUACAUCGGAAUAUAAACCACACUAGACAUGUCGGUAUGUCAACAAAAAUUGACGUAAGAUGCGAAGAUAGAAAACAACUAGGUAGUUCAGAACAAUGAGAAGAUAGUGUGAAGACAAAUAUGUAAUCAGAGGAAAUGUCUUCAUACAAUGUCUUCGAAUAGUAUGAGCACGCAAAGGCAUCACAAAACUAAACAGUAAGUAAAGGAGUGAAGUGAUGGAACCAGUUGCUCAUAGAAGACAUGUGAUUUGUUAGACCAAUUCCAGCUGCUGUGACAGCUAUAUGUCUGGUUAAGGAGGCUGAGAUUGAAAUCUGAAGACUUAGUCUUCACCUUAUUCCCCUUAAGCUAAUAUCCGCAAAUCUCACCCAAUCACUCGGGGAAGUCUUCAAGGUAAACUUCCAAACCUUCACAGACUUCGUUCACUAGCAAUCCACAAUGACUCUUGGAUGCUCAGAAUUUGACACCUAACUGGUUGGAAGAUCACAGUCUUCAAGUGUAACAAGUCUUUGGUUCACGCAGAACAGAAAGGCUUCAGUGAUGCUCAAUCACUUUGGGCUCUGGGUGUUUUGGGUUUGUCCUCGCAAGGAAUUUCUCUCAAGGCUUAAGAGGUGGGUUGCUCUCAAACGAUAACAACCAUGUAAUAACUCAAAACAACCACCAACUUAUGCUGGAGGGGGUGGGCUAUUUAUAGCCAGGAGGCAACCCGACAUGAUAUGACCAAAAUGACCCUAGGUCAAUGGGUAACCGACAUGUGUCCAACAACCGUAUUUCAAACACACGCGAUAGCUUUACUUGAGCUCCAACUAAAGCUAACUCAACGAACGUUGGAAAAGGUGUUCUCUCACUGUCUUCACUGGAAGACAUAGAAUUUUAGGUUCAACAUCAAGUCAGUUUCUAACUUUGUUUACCUCGACCCCAUUUAACAAUAUGGUGGUUCCUAUGGCUCAAGAAAGGCGAAAAUGAAACUAUCAAAAGACUAUGUCUUCGUGCUCCAUUGUAUUCAAGCGAAAGUCCUCACGUCCCAUUGUCUUCAAAUAAAUGUCUUCCCGUACCACCAUUAUCUUUAAUGUCUUCAUACAUGUUUAGGAGUCAUAUUUGAUUGGUAAGCCGAAUCUCUAGGGACUUCUAUCUGUGUUCUCCUGUGAAUCUCAUAAAUAGAUUAGUCCCUCAACCAAAUUUGUCGUCAAUACUCCAUAACCAAUGAUAUGUCCAUUUUGCAUCAUGUUUUUAUAUUGAUAUUUAUUGCAUUAUGUGCUGUUAUUACGUAUUUACGUACAAUACUUAUGUCUUUUCUCUCUUAUUUUACAAGGUUUACACAAAGAGGGAGAAUGCCGACAGCUGGAAUUCUGGACCGGAAAGGAGCAAAUCUGAGAGACCUAUUCUGCAUAACUCCAAAAAUCCUCAAAAUUUACAGAGAAUUAUUUUGGAAUAUAUAAAAAUAUUGGGUGAAGAAAAUACAAGAGGGGACCCACCAAGUGGCCACAAGGAUGGGGGCACGCCCUACCCCCUGGGCGCGCCUCCCUGGCUUCAGGGCCCCUUGGCAAGCCUUUGGUGCCCCUCUUCUACUAUAUGAUGUCUUUUGACCUGGAAAAAAAAAUCAGAAGAGAGCUUUCAGGAUGAAGUGCCGCCGUCUCGAGGCGAAACUUGGGCAGAACCAAUCUAAGAUUCAGGUGGCUUCAGAUUGCAAGGUGGCGUUGCAGAUAUAUAUUAGAAGAGCGCAACUACCUAUAGAGCAAUCAUAACUGAGAUCAUAGAUUGGAAGGCUACUUUUACUAAUUGUACAUUAGCCAUGAAUUUAGGAGCUUGAAUGUUGAAGCUCACAAACUCGUGAAGCAUGCUUUAUCCCUAGGGGUUGACCGCCAUGUUUGGUUAGGUAACCCCAUAGCUGAAGUUGUCUCGCCUUGCUUCAAAUCUACUGGGCGUGCACUGCGAUUUUGACCUAACGGCCUCCAUUUGCUGGAAUUAAUUGGAAUAGUUGAGAAGAAAGUGACAAACGAAUGCGUAAUGCGUGGGAAUCUGCCGAAUAGUUCAGGCUGAAUCCCGAAGAAAGUUCGUUGGUCAGGUAAAGGUUGGCCAGCCAAUGAUGCUUAGCUGGUCUUUUUGAAUGUUUAGCCACACUAGGACUGAGACAUAGCCCAGACUCCCAUGGGGGGCAGCAGAGGGGAAUCUUGGACAAUGGGCGAAAGCCCGAUCUAGCAAUAUCGUGUGAGUGAAGAAGGUCAAUGCUCCUUUUAAAGCUCUUACGUUGAGUGCACGAUCAUGUCAUAUCUCGAGGAAGAAGCCCCGGCUCACUCUGUGCNNNNNNNNNNNNNNNNNNNNNNNNNNNNNNNNNNNNNNNNNNNNNNNNNNNNNNNNNNNNNNNNNNNNNNNNNNNNNNNNNNNNNNNNNNNNNNNNNNNNNNNNNNNNNNNNNNNNNNNNNNNNNNNNNNNNNNNNNNNNNNNNNNNNNNNNNNNNNNNNNNNNNNNNNNNNNNNNNNNNNNNNNNNNNNNNNNNNNNNNNNNNNNNNNNNNNNNNNNNNNNNNNNNNNNNNNNNNNNNNNNNNNNNNNNNNNNNNNNNUAAGUACUCUUUGGAAUGACUGGGUGUAAAGGGCAUGUAGGCGGCGGGUUGAAAAUGAAACUGUGAAAAUCAUAAAAAGUGGCGGAAUGCUCUCGAAACCAAUUCACUUAAGUGAGACAGAGGAGAGUGGGUGAUUUUCUAUUCGUCCCUAUAAACACUACUCAUCAAUCCGUGCAGGUGCACGGGCUAGAUAUACCAUCAUAGAAUCUUGUAAAUAUACUUUGUAAGCCUAUAACUGGAAACAUAAAACAUGGAACAUGCUUUUCAGUUUUUAUUUUAUAGUGGUGUUUAGUCUUCAAAUUUCAGGCAAAAUUAAAAGUGGACACGUAUAAAUUCUCAAGUUCAUUGAUCAAGCGCAUGCAGUUGUUAUGGUAUACAAAAUCCAACAUGUUGAAGACUCACAUGCAUAUUUGUAGGAAAAACUAAAAAAAAUGUAAUUAUUUUUUAGAUCAUUACAUUCAAACCCACACAAAGAAAAUAGUCAAAUAAACAUCAUUUUUCUUUAAACAGAAGGAUCCAACUGACGCCAUAAAAUGUAUCUUUUCCUUAUAUUGGCCAAUUAUUGCUCAAAUAGCUGUGCAUGUGUUGUGUAAAUAAGAUUUAGAUAUGGUACAUAGAACUUUUGUUAGAUUUAGAUCAUAGCUUCAGUGUGAAUGUUGCUGCAAUGGCACAGAAGUAUGAUCGGUUUGGCAUCAUCUGCUUUGCGAUGAUCCACUCCCGUGCACAGGCUCUAUCCUACAGAUCGUCCUAUCGGACAACUAGCAGUAUAUGUCAUGCCAAAAGCUUCUUGACCAACAUAUGUGCUAGUAAAUCUAAUUACUCUAAAUUAUGAAAAUAUAGUUAUUCCGAAUUAUGAAAAUAUAAUUACCCUAAACUAUAUAUGUACCUUAGAUCGUAGAGGCCACCAUCGAACAGAACUAUAUAGGGAGUAGUUGUGCGGUAGUACUGUUGAGAUGUAGAAGUGGAAAAGCAAUAAUGCAUAACAAAAUCAUAUUCUAUCACACGCUUAGCUUAUACUAUAUAUAUUGGCACACAUUUUCUUUGCAUAUGCACCUAGUAGAUUAAACAAUGGAAGCAAACACAGUAGGGCAAACCAAUUUCAGAUUUUUAUCUAAAAUCAAAAGCCUAGAAAAGGUGAAUCUGCCGAAUAGUUCGGGCCGAAUCCUGAGGAAAGUUCAAAGCACUGUUUGACGAGCCUACGUAGUAUUAGUUAGUUGGCCAGGUAAAGGCUGACAAGCCAAUGAUGCUUAGCUAGUCUUUUUGAAUGAUUAGCCACACUGGGACUGAGACAUGGCCCAGACUCCCAUGGGAGGCAGCAGAGGGAAUCUUGGACAAUGGGCGAAAGCCCGAUCCAGCAAUAUCGCGUGAGUGAAGAAGGUCAAUGCUCCUUGUAAAGCUCUUACGUUGAGUGCGCGAUCAUGAUAUAUCUCGAGGAAGAAGUAACUCCAUGCCAGCAGCCNNNNNNNNNNNNNNNNNNNNNNNNNNNNNNNNNNNNNNNNNNNNNNNNNNNNNNNNNNNNNNNNNNNNNNNNNNNNNNNNNNNNNNNNNNNNNNNNNNNNNNNNNNNNNNNNNNNNNNNNNNNNNNNNNNNNNNNNNNNNNNNNNNNNNNNNNNNNNNNNNNNNNNNNNNNNNNNNNNNNNNNNNNNNNNNNNNNNNNNNNNNNNNNNNNNNNNNNNNNNNNNNNNNNNNNNGUACUCUUUGGAAUGACUGGGUGUAAAGGGCAUGUAGGCGGCGGGUUGAAAGUGAAGCUACGAAAAUCAUAAAAAGUGGCGGAAUGCUCUUGAAAUGAAUUCACUUAAGUGAGAUAGAGGAGAGUGGAUGGUUUUCUAUUCGUCCCUAUAAACACUAGUCAUCAACCCGUGCAGCUGCACGGGCUAGCGACUUGAGUCCGAAAACUUUGUGUUUAAUAUACUCUGGAAAAAGAAUAAACAUUGAAUAACAUUCAUAAUUUGUAAUUAUAAGUGUACUUUUUAAAAUCACGGUUACAUUGUUUAGCCUUUCAAGCAAUGCACAACAAUAAUUAGUGGCAAUGCACAACAAUAACAUUCAUAAUUUAUAAUUUCAACCGUGGUAUUAUAGGAGCAUACCACAUCACCUUGGCAGGAAUCUUCUUCCUGGAGCGCUCGCCCUCGACAUCUCCAGGGUCAUCGCGGCUGAUCUUAUAGCGCAAUGCACCGCAUACGGGGAACGCGUUCAAAUCCUCGUACUCACCACAGUAGAGGAUGCAGUCAUUAGGGCAUGCAUGUAUCUUCUGCACCUCUAAUCCUAGAGGGCAGACAACCUUCUUUGCUUCGUACGUACUUGGGCAAUUUGUUGUCCUUUGGAAGCAUCUUCUUUAACAUUAUCAGCAACUUUCCAAAUCCCUUGUCAGAUACACCAUUCUCUACCUUCCAUUGCAGCAAUUCUAGUGUGGUGCCCUGCUUUUUCUUGUCAGCUUCACAAUUUGGGUACAACAAUUUCUUGUGAUCCUCUAACAUGCGCUACAACUUCUUCUCCCCCUUUUCACUUGUGCAGUUUCUCUUUGCAUCAGCAAUGGCACGACCUAGAUCCUCAGCGGGCUCAUCUUAUGCCUCUUCUUCAGCUUCUUCCCGCAUUCCCGGCUCAAUUUCUUCCCCCAUUGUUGUACCAUCGUAUUCAGGGAACCCAUGGCCAGGAUAGCUAUCGUCGUCCUCUUCUUCUUCACUGUCUUCCAUCAUAACCCCUCUUUCUCCGUGCUUAGUCCAAACAUUAUAGUGGGGCAUGAAACUGGACACAAAUAGGUGGACGUGAAUGGUUCUUGACUUAGAGUAAUUCAGAUCAUUCUUACAGUUAGCACAUGGACAAGGCAUAAAACCAUCCGCCCGCUUGUUUGCCUCAUCUGCAAGUAGAAACGUAUGCACACCAUUAAUGAACUGGGGAGAGCAUCGGUCAUCGUACAUCCACUUCCGGUUCAUCUUCAUUUACACAACACCGAAAAUUCCAAAUUAAUACAAGUUCAUACAAAACAACAUACAAAUAACUCUGUAGCUAAAGUAUUUAAAUGCAACAACAAAUGCGAUCAAGAUCGCAACUAAGGUAACAAUUGAUCCAACAACAUAAUGAUACCAAGCCUCACUAUCAAUGGCAUAUUUUUUAAUCUUUCUAAUCUUCAAGCGCAUUUUCUCCAUCUUGAUCUUGUGAUCAUCGACGACAUCGGCAACAUGCAACUCCAAUUCCAUCUUCUCCCCCUCAAUUCUUUUCAAUUUUUCUUUCAAAUACUCGCUUUCUUUUUCAACUAAAUUUAACCUCUCGAGAAUAGGGUCGGUUGGAAUUUCCGGUUCACAUACCUCCCAGAUAAAAAUAUCUGUCAACUUGAUGGGCAUAAUUUUUCAUAAACACGAAAUGCAACAAAUAGUUAUAAAAGGGAAUAUACCACAUCCGAAUCAUAACCCGGACGAGGGCCGACGGGGACGGAUAUCAAAACUAUGGCACUAUGUAUAACAAACAACAUACAUGUAAGAUAAUUAUACAAGUAACUAUAUAUCUAAAUAACAAAAAAAUGAUUUUUCAUAUAUUAAAAAGAUAAGAACAAGAGACUCAUCACAAGGUGGUGCCGGCGACGGGACGGUGCGGGCGGUCGACGGUGGUUAGGACGGAGACGGGAAGGCACAAAGUAAACCACACCUACAUAUGCAAACUAAGAGUUAUUUUGACCUCAAAUUGCAUAUAAAUCAAAUAAACUACAACAUAUAUAUAAUUCCUCCCAAACUAAAAACCCACAAAUCACUAUACUUAUAGAGCAUUGUAAGAGCUAAUGUAACAAUGAGAGAUGAAAGGACAUAGUUGCUAACCUUUGUGAUCACUUGGACGGAUGGGGUGCCUUCAAAUGUUGGAAAAUUUUGGCAAAAAUGGAGGUGGCAGAUUGAGCAAGAGGGGAAGAAAACAAAGAGGAGGGGAAAAGUAGAGGGCUUCGGCUCGGACUGGAAGAAGCACUAUAUAUAGUGAUAUCUGUAGUCUUGGUUGGUUACACGAACCGGGACUAAAGGUCAACUUCUAGUCUCGGUUCGUGGCAUGAACCGGUACUAUAGGUCAUGGUGCGGCCGCAGCCUGCCGCAAGCCUGCCACCACCUCUUUAGUACCGGUUUGUGGCACGAACCGGUACUAAAGGUUCGCCACGAACUGGUACUAAUGAGAGCAGCCCACCUAGCCGUUGGAACCGGCAGUAAUGGUCACAUUAGUGUCGGUUCUAUUAAAAACCGGGACUAAAUAGUUGAACAUUAGGCCCAUUUUCUACUAGUGGUUACUUGACGGGCACUAUUUUUGUAAGGCAAAUGCCAAAUAAUUGGUCGGUAUUAAAUGUUGGUUGCCUAAACAAAAUAUUGUAAAUUUUUGGUCGGCGAAACAAACUCCCAUCUGACCGUCGGUCGAUACAUGUCCAUGGCAACCCUAACUAAUUGUUGGAUGGGAAAAACACUAUUUGAUAGUCGGUCAGGAAAGGACCAUAGUAGCUCAAAUGGACUGUCGGUCGGGAAAGGUCCGUGGCAGGCCCAACAGAAUGUUGGUCUCGAAAGAUACACUAUAGCCGACAAGCAGUCGGUUGGGACUAACAUGUCGGUCGGGAAAGGGUUUUCCUGUCUGGACUUUCCCCAAGGAUCUUUGCCGUCAGCCAGCUCACGACAAAGAAAGUUUUUGCCAUCAGCUUACAGAAAACUGACUGCAAAGAAAGAGCCAACGACAAAGAGCAUGUUUGCCGUCCGGCAUAGCAGCCGACAAAGAGGGAGGGUGGUCCACUAAGGAGUACCACCUAACGACCACUUUCUUUGGCGUCUGCUAGCGGACGACAAAGAUUGCAGCUAAUGGCUACAUACGGCCCACCCCACACCUCCCACUCUCCAUUUCUCUUUCUCUCUCACUCCACCGUGCCGACCCCGAUCCCAACCGCCGCCGCCGCUCCCGACCCCCACCUCCCGCGCCGCCCCUGACCCCCCUGCCGCCCCUCCGGUCCAUGACCCGCCACCCCGCGGUCCGCUGCGCCCCCCGGCCCCUGCAACCACCGACNNNNNNNNNNNNNNNNNNNNNNNNNNNNNNNNNNNNNNNNNNNNNNNNNNNNNNNNNNNNNNNNNNNNNNNNNNNNNNNNNNNNNNNNNNNNNNNNNNNNNNNNNNNNNNNNNNNNNNNNNNNNNNNNNNNNNNNNNNNNNNNNNNNNNNNNNNNNNNNNNNNNNNNNNNNNNNNNNNNNNNNNNNNNNNNNNNNNNNNNNNNNNNNNNNNNNNNNNNNNNNNNNNNNNNNNNNNNNNNNNNNNNNNNNNNNNNNNNNNNNNNNNNNNNNNNNNNNNNNNNNNNNNNNNNNNNNNNNNNNNNNNNNNNNNNNNNNNNNNNNNNNNNNNNNNNNNNNNNNNNNNNNNNNNNNNNNNNNNNNNNNNNNNNNNNNNNNNNNNNNNNNNNNNNNNNNNNNNNNNNNNNNNNNNNNNNNNNNNNNNNNNNNNNNNNNNNNNNNNNNNNNNNNNNNNNNNNNNNNNNNNNNNNNNNNNNNNNNNNNNNNNNNNNNNNNNNNNNNNNNNNNNNNNNNNNNNNNNNNNNNNNNNNNNNNNNNNNNNNNNNNNNNNNNNNNNNNNNNNNNNNNNNNNNNNNNNNNNNNNNNNNNNNNNNNNNNNNNNNNNNNNNNNNNNNNNNNNNNNNNNNNNNNNNNNNNNNNNNNNNNNNNNNNNNNNNNNNNNNNNNNNNNNNNNNNNNNNNNNNNNNNNNNNNNNNNNNNNNNNNNNNNNNNNNNNNNNNNNNNNNNNNNNNNNNNNNNNNNNNNNNNNNNNNNNNNNNNNNNNNNNNNNNNNNNNNNNNNNNNNNNNNNNNNNNNNNNNNNNNNNNNNNNNNNNNNNNNNNNNNNNNNNNNNNNNNNNNNNNNNNNNNNNNNNNNNNNNNNNNNNNNNNNNNNNNNNNNNNNNNNNNNNNNNNNNNNNNNNNNNNNNNNNNNNNNNNNNNNNNNNNNNNNNNNNNNNNNNNNNNNNNNNNNNNNNNNNNNACGACACCACCAACACCCUGAUCCCCGACAUGACACUCGAGACCCCGACACGGCACCCCCAACCUCGAGACAGCACCCCGACCCUAACAUGACACCCCCGAAACCCCGACCCCCAGAGGCCGACGGGGUCAUAUAUUUGUGAAUUAUGAGUUAGGUCAGGUAUUCAAUUAUUAUUAUGUACAUAUACAUAUAUAUUAUUAUUAAUUAGUUCAUGUUAUUAGGUAUUCAAUUUUUUAUUAUGUUCAUGAUGAUGAUACACACUUAAUUUUUUUAUCAUGUUUAUGUUGUACUAAUUUCAUUUACUCUUUGUCAUUGCAGGUGUUGACAGAUGGUGGGCUCGGGUCGAGAGCGCUCCGAGCCUCCUUCUUCGGCGCGUGCUGGGAGGUGUGUUGUUAUUCCACUCCAGCACCUUCGGAGAGCGCUGAUAGACAGCACACAGACACCAGCGGGCGCUUCUUCUUCGACCGAGAGAGGUCGGGGGAAGACGAAGAGGGGUACAGCUAGACGUGGCGGCGGGAUAGGUAGGAAGGCUGCUACGCCUUCCUCGCCGCCACCCCAGCUGAUUCUUUGGACCACUGGAGUGCUUCGUCCCAGGUGGACCCGUCUGACUUGGACCCUUCUCGGACUCCGGUCCACAAGCCUCGGGCCAACGAGCCUACAUCCGACGAGACUCGGGUCCUAGAGUCUUCGUCCCAGGAGACUCGGGUCCCAGAGUCUUCGUCCCACGUGACUCCGGAGACUAGUGGCCAUGCUGAUGGUGGCGAGGACACCUUAUCUGACGAUAGCUACAAUGAUGGCGAGCUAGUUGAGGGGGGCAAGAAGGUCUACCAGCGUGGUGGUACAGAUCUCCCGUCCGUGUCGGCGACCCGCGACCAGAGGUGGUUGAUUGAGCCUAAAGGGGAGAAGUAAGUGCAUUUACUCUUUUUUAACCAUUUGCCUUCAUGUUUCUUCAAAUUAAUAUCUAAUGUGUUGGCCUUGUCAUACUGCAAGGGUUGGAUACAUGCCUCUGAUGUCCGUAGGCCCAACCAGGUCCUUGGUGUGAUUUGCCGGCACCACUUCCCGGGAUGGGUCACAUUGCCCGAUGAGGGUGAGGUUCCAUAGCUAGCACUGACCUGGGAGCUGCACAAGGGUGCCCCGGCCCCGCCGAGGGAGAUGGUCGACGGUGUCGUGUGCGAGACGGUGGCGGACAUUGUGAGACGGCGGUUUUGGGUAAUUUCUCCUUUAUAGAAUUAAAAAUCAACAAUACUUAGUGAUUGUACUAAUCAGUGUUGUCUUGUUUGAUUCCAUCCCUUCUACAGGUGUCUUGAGGAACACGAGGCGGACACGGCUAUGGUUCUCGAAGCCGAGUGCAAGCGCCUAAUUCAGAACUUAUGGUACGAGGCUCAGGUACAGGCUGUUCAAGACUACUAUGCCUCGACUAACAUCAGAAGGUCCAAGAAGAAGUGACGCGGCAAGUAUCUGAGUAAGGAGAAGUACAUGAAGGUAAUUACCUAUUCUUAAGGCCUUGGACUUAGUUUCCUUGAUUUGAUUUGUAGGCAUAGCGCUGAAAUUUCUCUUUGUCUAACUUUGGUGCCCCCGAGAUGGUGUGCGGAUAGGAUGGACUGUUGGGAGAGGUUGGUGAAUGAGUGGUGCUCUCCCCAAUGGCUAGCCGUCCACAACAAGGCCAGGGAUAAGUGUGCCCAGAUGCAAGGUGUGCCACACCAUCAAGGGAGCUCCAACCUGUUUGAGUACGGGGAUCACUUGGUAUGUGGUUUGAGCCCUUAAUGAUUCAUGCAAUUUCAUUCUUCAUGCUAGCUUGAGCCCUUAACUAAUAUUUUGUUCCUCUCUUUUAGGCACGACACAACAAGAAGGAGGUGCCACUGCUGUACAACCUCUAUGCCAUGGCCCAUACUGCCCCGUACAAGAAGGCCAAGGCAUUCUGAGAGCUCCACCAACAUAUCCUCCCAUACGAUAAGCUCAUGAGGUACAGAGUCUUUGGGAAGGCGAUGAAAGGGGAGGACUUCAACCCGAGCCAGAGUCCUUUUGAUCCUAAGCUUGUGAUGCUAUCUGAAGGGACGAAACAUGGCUCAGUAGCCAUUAGGGAUGGACUGAUACGUUGUCCUAGAAGUCUCCCAGAGAUCAAGAAGCGCCAGAUGAGGUCUCUUCCUGAGAUGAGGCCUCGAUAACGACCAAUGGAGCUCGCCAUCAAGGCUAGGGCCCAGGAGCUUCUGGCGGAGGCAAACAGGUAGUCGACGCAGAGGGAGAGGGAGUUGGAGGAGAGGACAGCUAGUAUGUUGGAGGCGGAGAGGAACCGGAACGACGCGGGUCACCGGGCCCUAUACGAGCUCCUCGUGGUAAGUUUCUCCUGCAUAUUAGCCAAAUCAUGUAUGUGAUGUUCGUUUCAUUACUAACUAAUAUGACUGACUCGUGAAAACAAAAUGUGCAAUCCGUUUGCGAGAAAAACGACCAGACCCCUCAGCCGAUGCACCAGCACUAGUGCAGAACCGGGCUAUAGCACUGGUUCGUAAGGGCCUUUAGUCCCGGUUCUGUAACCUGCACUAAAGGGUGGAGACUAAAGGCCCCCCCUUAGUACCGCUUCUGCACGAACCGGGGCCAAAGGCCCACCAUGUGGCACAAUCCCGCGUGGUGAUCUGGGGGAUCUUUAGUACCGGUUGGUAACACCAACCGGUACUAAAGGAUUUUUUUUAUUUUUGAUUUUAUUUUUUACGAAAAAAUUGAAUAUUUUUUCCGAUUUUCAAAUUUCUGAAUUAUUUGACGAUUUUGUCUCUAAUCACUGCUCAUCAUUGCUGUAAUCACCCCUCAUCAAUCCAAAUUGUCUAACUUCCUGGACAGUCACCCAUCCUCUCAUUACUCCAGCCUGAGCACGCUUAACUUCCGAGUUCUAAGUCUGCACGUGUUGUUUACCUGACAAUAGUAAGUUGUCAAUCCUAUUAACCCUCAGGAAUUUAGCUUGAACAUGAAGUCACAUGUUUCACCGUUUUAGUUUGAAACUAUUAUUUUAAAAAAUAAAUAUUAUUUAGUAACCGAGAUACUUCUUGAAUAAGUAGUCUGACCACAGUUUGACCAUAGUUUGACCAAAAGUCAAAAAAACUAAAAUAACUAUUUAUUAACACUAAUAUUUCUUGAAUAAUUAGUUUGACCAUAGUUUGACCACAAUUCGACCAGAUUUAACAAAUUUUUUAAAACAAACUGAAAUUGGAGAAAAUCUUUUUUUCCUUUUAGAAUUUGAGGUUUCUAAAAAAUUGCAAACAAGCAGUAGGCGGUCAAAAUUGGAUGCGGAUUUUCGUGCUGAUUUUUUUGACAUAUUAUGCGUUUUUUUGACAUCGUAUGCAAAAGAUAUGGCCGUUUUACAUUUUCAUAACACUUUUUUUGCAAAACAUGUCCAAAUUUAAGUUUUUUAAUUUUCCUAACUAGUAGAUUUAGUAACAUAACUACAUCUCGAACGAUUUUACUUUUUGAAGUUUUUAUCAUUUUCUUUUGCUUUUUACAAAAUUGAAAAGGCGGUCCGGGGGGGUAGAGUUUGAAAAUGGGUCCUUUAGUCUCGGUUUGUGUCUCCAACCGAGACUAUUGGUCAGACCCCUUUAGUCCCGGUUCGUGGCACAAACCGGUACUAAAGGUUAGCCCUGUAGUACCAGUUUGUGCCACGAACCGGGACUAAAGGGGCUCGUGGGGCCCCGCCUGNNNNNNNNNNNNNNNNNNNNNNNNNNNNNNNNNNNNNNNNNNNNNNNNNNNNNNNNNNNNNNNNNNNNNNNNNNNNNNNNNNNNNNNNNNNNNNNNNNNNNNNNNNNNNNNNNNNNNNNNNNNNNNNNNNNNNNNNNNNNNNNNNNNNNNNGCCAGCCUGCCACCACCCCUUUAGUACCGGUUCAACACGAACCGGCAUUAAUGCAUAGCCGUUUGAACCGGGACUAAUGGUACCAUUAGUACUGGGCCAACAUUGAACCGAGACUAAUGUGUCUCACAUUAGGUCCUUUUUCUACUAGUGCAGAUUGGUAUAGCGGACGCGGUGAGUUUCAUUUGAAUGGUCAUUAGUUACUAGUAUUCACAUUUCAGUUGCAUCAUGCUAACUAGACAUUGCAAAUGAUCUUUGGUGCAGCACGCCUCCCGGCAAGCAUCGACCGAUCCUUCUUCAUCUCAAACUAGCGCAACCCCGACCAGUCCUUCUCCGUCUGGCACUAGCGCAAGCCAAACCGUUCCUUCACCUACAUACUUAGCUUAACAAAUACAUACUUAGCUUAAGAAAUGACCUACUUAGCUCCAAAAUGACCUAUACUUAUCUUAUUUUCCUCAAAAAUGACAUAAUAACCUUACUUAGCUCCAAACUGACAUAUUCUACCUAGGAUAGCUAUAAAAUGACCUAUACUUAGCAUUUUUUUUCUCCAAAACGACUUGAUAUGCUUAGUUAGCUAGAAAAUGGCAUAACUACCUAGGAUAGCUCAAUAAUGAUCUAUAGCUAUCUUAGCUAGUUCAUUUAUGACAUAAUUAGCUCACUUAGGUAAAAAAUGGCAUAACUACCUAGGAUAGCUGAAUAAUGAUCUAUAAUUAGCUUAGCUAGUUCAUUUAUGCCAUAGUUAGCUCACUUAGGUAAAAAAUGACAUAACAACCUUGGUUUAGCUCCCAAAUGACCUAUACUUAGCUUAUUUCCUUGAAAAUGACAUAACAACCUUACUUAGCUCUGAACCGACAUACUUUACCUAGGAUAGCUAUAAAAUGGCCUAUACUUAGCAUUUUUUUACUCCUAAAUGACUUAAUAUGCUUAGUUAGCUAAAAAUGUCACAACUACUUAGGUUAGCUCCAAACUGGCCUACACUUACCAUUUUGUCCUCCAAAAUGAAUAAAUUUGCUUAGUUAGCUCAAAAAUGGCAUAACUACCUAGGUUAGCUCCAAAAUGACAUAUUUACCUAGCUUAGCUCUAAAAUGACCUACACACUUAGCAUUUUUAGCUAGCUAAAGCUAAAAAAUGGCAUUUUUACCUACCUUAGUUAGAAUAAGAAGAAGAUAAAGAAGAGGAGAGGAGAAAAAGAAUGAGAAGAUAAAUCUUCUUUUUCUUCUUCUUUUUCUUCCUUUUCUUCUAGCUAGUCUUCUUCUUCUUCUUCUAACUUUCAUCUUUCCUAAUUUGUAGAUUUGCUUUAGAUGAGGAAGCUUGCAUUGAUGGAGUGUACUCUUCUACUUGUGCUUCCUUUUUGUUUAUGGAAACUUAUUUUGGAUAUGUAUGUAUAUAUGGAUAUGUUGUUGGAAGCCAUUGUAUGGUGGAUAUGUUGUUGGAAACUUGUAUGUUGGAUAUGUUGAUGGAAACUUAUUGUUGGUAUGCUUGUUGAAAUUAUUUUGAAAUGUGUGUAUAUAUAUAUAUCUGUGAAAUUCUGUCAAACUGAAUGAAUUUAAGAAAAAACAGAAAAAACAGGGGCUAUACAGUCUCUUUGUCGUCUGCUGGCAUAUGGCAAAGAGCUUUGCCGUCUGCCGGCAAAGCUGCCACAUGGCAGCUACCUGUGCAACUUGGGGUGCUCUGGGCUGGCCUAUUUGGCAGCUUUGCCAUCAGCGGCAGACGGCAAAGACCUUUGCAUCUUUGCCAUCCGCUGGCAGACGACAAAGAUGCAAAGGCCUUUGUCGUCUGCCAGCUGACGGCAAAGCACACCCUUAACCCCUUAACGGACCUAAGCUGCCAUGUGUGGUGUCCAGGCUCUUUCCCGUCUGCCAGUAUACGGCAAAGAGGGCUUUGCCGUAGCUUAUUUAGCCGGAGCUGUUGCCAUUUAUUGGCUGACAGCAAAGGCCUUUGCCAUACUCCAGGCAUGCCUUUUAUCGUCAGCCAUGGUUGACCGUAAAGUGCCUGAUUCCUUUAGUGUUGGCACAACUUGUAUUCCCGACCAAUCUGGAUUUUGGGGAUGUAGUGCAGUGGUGUACUGAAUGCAGUGUCGUGGUGUAGUGCGGGCAAGUUAAGAAAAAAAUGGACACAUGCGAGGCUAGCACCAUGAUGAACACUACUGAGGUAGAGGAGAUGAUGAAGAAGUUGGGGAUCACGGAGGAUGACUUUGAUGAUGUGGUAGUAGAGGAAGAGGAGGAGCUCCCUGCUGAAGCAAUCCAGUGGAUGGCAAUCAUGCGAGUGCACAUAGAGAAAACUUAUGCUCAGUACUGGUUUUCAGAAACAUGAGGGUGGCUUGGGACUUGGCGAAAGAGGUGAAGAUCUGGCUACUCAACAAUAAUAUGUACAUGCUGCAAUUUUCUUGUUUAGGCGACUAGGAGGGAGUCAUGGACGAUGGGCUCUGGACUUACCGAGGCAACACGGUGCUUUUGGCGUCGUAUGAUGGAUUCACUAAACCAUCAACCAUAGCCUUGGACACAAUUGAGAUGUGGAUCCAAUUCAUGAUCUACCAGAUAGCUACCCCUACCCCCAAUUGAGCCUGGCGCUUGCUAGACCAUCCCGGUUCUCUGAGUUCCAUUGAUCUUAAAAGUUCUAAACUAUCCAAAUAACCCUCUUUCCGAUGCAACCUUGGGACCACAUCCAUCACAUGUAUGGCCGACUAUUUUCCAUGGGAAAGACAUAAUGACUUAGGGUUUGAUAAGGAGAAUAGGAGACAGAGAAUCCCCUGAUAUUUGGAACAAUAAUAGGAUAACUAGAGAGCAUAUAAAGAGGCCGAGAACUUCACAAACACCACAGCCGCCGACAAGCGUCGCUGAACACAUUGAUCACACUGUGUCAUCAAGGGAUGAACAACUUAUUCAAUCGAUACUUAUUCCCAUUGAUGCCGAGACUAUAUUGAAGAUCCCUCUUUGCACGAGACAAAUAUCUUAUUUUUGGUCAUGGAUUGAGGAUAGAAGGGGCAUGUUCAUUGGGCAUUCUGCUUACAAGAUGAUACAGUGAACCAAGAUCAGUAGAGGAUCAUGGCUGUAUGAGCAGGGUGGCCGAUCAAACUCAGAGGCUGAUUGUCAAGGAUGGAUAGACUUAUGGCAUAUAAAAUCCCCCCGAAAAUCAAGGUGUUCAUGUGAAUAUUAGCACAAUACUCACAAUGUCCUUCUUCAUCAUAGAAACAUGUCGAUGACGAGUGCUUGUUGUUUGUGCUGGUCUAACGAUAUGUGCAGGCAUGCCCUGCUGAAUUGCUUGGUUUCAAGGAGCACUGAGCACUAUCAUACGAGCAAAUUGUCGAGCUAUUGAGUCUGAAUGUAAAUGAUGACGCCAAACAGUGGCUAUUCACCAUGCAUGAGGUGUUAUCACAUGCGGACGAUUUUAUCAUGUUUACGAUCACUUUUAUGGACGAUAUGGGGAGCUCGGCACAAAGCUAUACAUGAGGAGAUAUAUAAAAGCCCUUUCACUUUUCAGGCUUUUGUGCAGAGUUACUUAACUGAGCUGAGAGCUACCCAAAGCACUCGAAGUCCAGUUCCAGGGGCACCCGUGAUUAGGCCAAGUCAAUGUAUCGCUCCUCGGGAUAAUAUGGUGAAGGUCAAUGUGGAUGCGGCGGUUGGACCAGGCGACACUCGAGGCGCAAUGGGAGCUAUAUGCAGAGAUCAAGCAUGUAAUUUUCUGGGUGUGUUGGCCAUUGUGUUUCCACAUAUAUCAGAUCUUGUUACUGUCGAAUCUUCAGCAAUCAGGGUGGCACUUGCACUUGGUGAUAAUCUCUAUGAGAGGAAGAUUCAGGUGGCUUCAGAUUGCAAGGUGGUGUUGCAGAUAUACAUCAGAAGAGCGCAGCUAUCUACAGAGCAAUCAUAACUGAGAUCAUAGAUCAGAAGGCUACUUUUACUAAUUGUACAUUAGCCAUAAAUUUAGGAGCUUGAAUGUUGAAGCUCACAAACUCGUGAAGCAUGCCUUAUCCCUGGGGGUUGACCGCCAUGUUUGGUUAGGUAACCCCAUAGCUAAAGUUGUCUCGCCUUGCUUCAAAACUACUGGGCGUGCGCUGCGGUUUUGACCUAAAGCCUCCGUUUGCUGGAAUUAAUUGGAAUAGUUGAGAAGAAAGUGACCAACGGAUGCGUAAUGCGUGGAAAGCUGCUGGAUAGUUCGGGCCGAAUCCUGAAGAAAGUUCAAAGCGCUAUUUGGUGAGCCUACGUAGUAUUAGUUCGUUGGUCAGGUAAAGGUUGGCAAGCCAAUGAUGCUUAGCUGGUCUUUUUGAAUGUUUAGCCACACUGGGACUGAGACAUGGCCCAGACUCCCAUGGGGGGCAGCAGAGGGGAAUCUUGGACAAUGGGCGAAAGCCCGAUCCAGCAAUAUCGCGUGAGUGAAGAAGGUCAAUGCUCCUUGUAAAGCUCUUACGUUGAGUGUGCGAUCAUGACAUAUCUCGAGGAAGAAGCCCAGGCUAACUCCGUGCCAGCAGCCGCGCUAAGACGGGGGUGGGGGUGGGGGGUGGGGGGAAGUACUCUUUGGAAUGACUGGGUGUAAAGGGCAUGUAGGCGGCGGGGUUGAAAAUGAAACUGUGAAAAUCAUAAUAAGUGGCGGAAUGCUCUUGAAACCAAUUCACUGAAGUGAGACAGAGGAGAGUGGGUAGUUUUCUAUUCGUCCCUAUAAACACUAAUCAUCAACCCGCGCACCUGCACGGGCUAGAUAUACCAUCAUAGAAUCUUGUAAAUAUACUUUGUAAGCCUAUAACUGGAAACAUAAAACAUGGAACAUGCUUUUCAGUUUUUAUUUUAUAGUGGUGUUUAGUCUUCAAAUUUCAGGCAGAAUUAAAAGUGGACACGUAUGAAUUCUCAAGUUCAUUGAUCAAGCGCAUGCAGUUGUUAUGGUAUACAAAAUCGAACAUGUUGAGGACUCACAUGCAUAUUUGUAGGAAAAACUAAAAAAAAUUUGUAAUUAUUUCUUACAUCAUUACAUUCAAACCCACACAAAGAAAAUACUCAAAUAAACAUCAUUUUUCUUUAAACAGAAGGAUCCAACUGACGCCAUAAAAUGUAUCUUUUCCUUAUAUUGGCCAAUUAUUGCUCAAAUAGCUGUGCAUGUGCUGUGUAAAUAAGAUUUAGAUAUGGUACAUAGAACUUUUGUUAGAUUUAGACCAUAGCUUCAGUGUGAAUGUUGCUGCAGUGGCACAGAAGUAUGAUCGGUUUGGCAUCGUCUGCUUUGCGAUGAUCCACUCCCGUGCACAGGCUCUAUCCUACGGAUCGUCCUAUCGGACUGCUAGCAGUAUAUGUCAUGCCAAAAGCUUCUUGACCAACAUAUGCGCUAGUAAAUCUAAUUACUCUAAAUUAUGAAAACAUAGUUAUUCUGAAUUAUGAAAAUAUAAUUACCCUAAACUAUAUAUGUACCUUAGAUCGUAGAGGCCACCAUCGAACAGAGCUAUAUAGGGAGUAGUUGUGCGGUAGUACUGUUGAGAUGUAGAAGUGGAAAAGCAAUAAUGCAUAACAAAAUCAUAUUCUAUCACACGCUUAGCUUAUACUAUAUAUAUUGGCACACAUUUUCUUUGCAUAUGCACCUGGUAGAUUAAACAAUGGAAGCAAACACAGUAGGGCAAACCAAUUUCAGAUUUUUAUCUCAAAUCAAAAGCCUAGAAAGGGUGAUCCAGGAAAAACAUUAAUCGCUGCAUUGUUGAGAGUCUCAUGUUUCAAUUUCACCAUCCAAUCUCAUAGAAAAAUGUAGGCAGCCGGUGAGGAAUCAGCAGAUGGUUGCCAUGUGCUUCUCGAUAUUUCUUUUCCCUAAUCACCAAAGAACACAUAGGCGAGCCCAGCAGUAACUUGAUAUACAGGAGGCUUCUUUGGUUUGCACCAGUGUAACACGAAAGAACAGAUACGCAGCCGUGAAAGUCGCUGGCUGCAUGAUGGAAGACGCCAACCACAUAUCGUUGAUAUUGAACGCAACGCUUGAAUAUCUUUUUUGACCUCUUCGUUCACCAUAACCUUUCAUAGUGGGAUCCAUCUUUCUUAAGCUUUGACACUUGGAAAUAAUACUUACCAUCAUAUUAAUCAAACCUUGCUGCAUCCACCGAUUUUUUUUCCAACUCAUGCAUGUGAAACCAUGGAUAUUUCAUCAGCAAAAAGUACGAAAAAGGACACAACUAUGCACUAUUAAUUAUGUCUGUGCUCAGACAUACCGCUCUCCUGCAGUAUCCACAAAAGGAAAACCAAGAUUUUCAGUUCUCACGCGCCUGACAAACAUCAUCUAUCUUCUGCUUGCAAUCUUUCCUGAUGAUACAUCAUGUCCGUUGGGGGUAAUAUGAAUUCAAAAGGAUGGAAAAAAGACCUGGAAAGAGGGGAAUUAGGGAUACUGUGCUAAAUUGGGAUAGGAGAGGAGAGCAUUAUGCCCUUGAAUGGAAUCCAGGAUGUGAAACGUUGUGCCGCCAUAGCGAUGAUGGCCACAACCAUACUUGCACUAGUAGAAAACAGGGCAUUUGUCCCGGUUCGUAAGGGCCAUUAGUCCCGGUUCAUGAACCGGGACUAAAGGGUCGUUACUAAUGCCUCCCCCCUUUAGUCCCGGUUCUAACACGAACAGGGACUAAAGGUCGCGGCCACGUGGAGCUCCACCUUUAGUCCCGGUUGUUACCAACCGGGACUAAAGGAAAUUCUAUGAUUUUUUUUUGAAUUUUUUUUGAUUUUUUUUAAUUUUCAAAUUUCCGAAUUAUUUAACCUCUAAUCUCUAAUCACCCCUUAUCAUUCCAAAUCAUCUAACUUCCCGAACGGUCACCCAUCCUCCCACUCCCCCAGCCUGAGCACGCUUAACUUCUCGGUUCUAUUCUCCCUCGUUUCCAAGUCUGGACUUGUUGUUUUCCUGACAAUAUUAAUAUGUCAAUCCUAUUAACCUUCAGGAAUUUUGCUUGAGCAUGAAGUGACACAUUUCACUGUUUGAGUUUGAAACUAUUGUUUUAAAAAACAAUAAUUAUUGAAUAACACUAAUAUUUCUUGAAUAAUUAGUUUGACCAUUGUUUGACCACUGUUUGACCACAGUUUGACCAGAUUUGACCAAAAUUCAAAAUAACUGAAAUAAUUAUUUAGUAACACUAAUAUUCUAGAUUAAUUAGUUUGACCAUUGUUUGACCACAGUUUGAAUUGUUUUUGAUUUUUUCCACUCUAGAUCUUAAAAGCCCCGUAUCUUUUUUCUGUUAGGUUUUUGAGGAUUUUGAAAAUGUUUAACGUGGUUCCCCCUGUUACAUUUGGAUGUAACUUUUUGAGUAGAUGAUUUUUUUAUAUAAAAAACUUUUUCAUCCGAGUUAGUAUGCAAAAGUUAUGUCCAUUUAACUAAAUACUAGAGAGAUUUUGCAAAUAAAGUCGAAAUUCACAUUUGCAGAUUUUCCCAACAACUAGACCACGUAUCACAUGGAAACUUGCUUUUUUUUUUGACAUUUUCAUCAUUUUCUUUUAUUUUUUUAAAACUGAAAAGGCGAUCUAGGGGGUGGAGUUUGAAAAUGGGACCUUUAGUACCGGUUCGUGCCAUGAACCGGUACUAAUGCCUCAAACCCCAUUAGUACCGGUUGGUGGCUCGAACCGGGACUAAAGAUCUAACCUUUAGUACCGGUUGGUGCCACGAACCGGUACUAAUGGGCAUCGCACACUUUAGUCCCGGUUCGUGGCACCAAUCGGGACUAAAAGGUCCAGACGAACCGGGACAAAUGGCCCACGUGGCCCCUGGGCGCACGAACCGGGAUUAGUGCCCCCAUUAGUCCCGGUUCUAGACUGAAUCGGGACUAAUGGGCUAAACCGGCCUGGACCAAAGCCCUCUUUUCUACUAGUGUUGCUUCAAAGAGGAACAUCAGUACCGUACCUCCUCCAAGCCUCGAGCAAGCAACACAAUAUUGUACAGGAGGCCCCAUGCCAGCGGUAGGGGCCGAUCGCCGUUCAAUUCCUGCAGAGGGCCUCUCAUCCUUCUAGUACUGAAUAUGCUAGCAGUCGACUAAAAUAGAUGAUUGAGCUGAUAUUGUUAUCAUUGCCAUCUGUAAUCGAUAUUGAAUACCUCCUCUUGCAUGCUAGAUCUAAACAUAAAAUUUAGCUCAACUGUACACAUCUGUUUUGACUCGACAGUAAGGAACCAUAAUAUUGCAACCCUGAGGAACAAAGCAAUGGAUGAGUACUUGACAACAAUUUAGCUCAAGUGUACAGCUAAAAAUUUAAUUAUGAAGGACAAAAUUGGUUGCGACAAAAUCAGUCACUUGACAACAAUUAUCACAUUUGUCUAUGAAUAUUUGAACCUAUGGUCUUUGUUGCGCCCUGGUCGGAUGGAUUAAAAGACGCAACCAUCUAGUACAUAGGGAGAUUGUGCAUACUUCUUACCUCUAAUAAUCUAAUCAAGGCAGUAGAGGAGGAUUAUGUGCCCUGUGUAAGAGGAACACGCAUCAGUCGGAGUAGGAUCCAGGAGGCCAUUAUUGAACCAAUUUUCACAUAUCACCAGCUAAUGAAAAAUAAUUUACAAAUAGUAACUCUCAUCGAAUGUAAAUAAUAUCAUGCAUGGUACUUAAGCCAGCCGUACCUGAAACUUGAUGAAUCUAAUAUUUGUUCAAGGAAGUGUCUCACGGCCUUUAACUAAAACUAACAAUUUACAGUUGACAGUGAUCUAGUUUCAUGAAACUAUAAUUAUUAGAAGUCACCAGAUGUCUGCCUCUCUUCGAUUUCUGCAAGUAGCACCUAGGUGAGCUCACCAAAUCACCCCAUGUUGCUUUAAGUAGGUAGAAAUUUGGCAGAUACACAAAUAUUAGUACGAUAUCCAUUAAUUCUAAUAAUUGAUAAAGAAGGACACUCCUCUUAUGUGUGUGUGUGUGUCUGUGUGUUUGGUGCUGUGUAUUUCGAUGUGAGUUCAGUAAUUCCAACUCCCUACAAUUAAGAUAUGAAUAGUCAGUGGAAACUUACCAUUGGGAACCAUGGCUUGGGGAGCAUGUUCAGACCUGCAAGUUGCUGCUCUCAAUCUAUUGCCCAUGUAUAUGGAUGAUUAUUAAUCUGCUCAUAUGUUUACACCUCCAGACGUUGCCACCGCAGGGAUUAUUAACAUGAACACAACCAUCAUCGCCAUUAAGUUAGCAAAAUAGAUCAACAUACUUGUCGCCAUGGCGUGUAGGAAAAGUUUCACGUGUGAUGUUCUCUAUUGAUAUCACGUAAUCCUUGUAACUAACAGUCAAACGACAUGCUAGGCAAUCACAAAGGGAAACGUUUCAGGCCGGGGAACCGGCCGAACCUUCGGCCGGUCGCGAGCCACGCUGCACUAGUAGAAAAGAGGGCUUUGGUCCACCCCGGGUUAGCCCAUUAGUCCCGGUUCAGUCUAGAACCGGGACUAAUGGGGGCAUUAGUCCCGGUUCGUGCGCCCAGGGGCCACGUGGACCAUUUGUCCCGGUUCGUCUGGACCUUUUAGUCCCCGGUUGGUGCCACGAACCGGGACUAAAGGGUGCGAUGCCCAUUAGUCCCGGUUCGUGGCACCAACCGGGACUAAAAGGUUAGACCUUUACUCCCGGUUCAUGCCACCAACCAGUACUAAUGGGGUUUGAGGCAUUAGUACCGGUUCAUGGCACGAACCGGUACUAAAGGUCCCAUUUUCAAACUCCACCCCCCUCCCCCCUGGAUCGCCUUUUCAGUUUAAAAAAAUAAAAGAAAAUGAUGAAAAUGUCAAAAAAUAAAAGAAAAUAAGUUUCCCAUGUGAUAUGUGGUCUAAUUGUUCGGAAAAUUUACAAAUAUGAAUUUCGACUUUAUUUGCAAAAUCUCUCUAGAAUUUAGUAAAAAUGGGCAUAACUUUUGCAUACUGACUCGGAUGAAAAAGUUUUUUAUAUGAAAAAUCAUCUACUCGAAAAGUUACAUCCAAAUUUAACGGGGGAACCCCGUUAAACAUUUUCAAAAUAUUCAAAAACCUAACAGAAAAAAGUUACGGGGCUUUUAAGAUCUAGAGUGGAAAAAAUCGAAAACAAUUCAAACUGUGGUCAAACAAUGGUCAAACAAUGGUCAAACUAAUUAUUCUAGAAUAUUAGUGUUACUAAAUAAUUAUUUUAGUUAUUUUGAAUUUUGGUCAAAUCUGGUCAAACUGUGGUCAAACUGUGGUCAAACAAUGGUCAAACUAAUUAUUCAAGAAAUAUUAGUGUUACUAAAUAAUUAUUGUUUUUUAAAACAGUAGUUUUAAACUCAAAUAGUGAAAUGUGUCACUUCAUGCUCACGCAAAAUUCCUGAGGGUUUUAAAAAAGUUAGAUGAUCAGGAAUGAUGUGGGGUGAUUAGAGAUUAGAGGAUAAAUUGAGCAGUGAUGAGGGGUGGUGAUUAGAGAUUAGAGGUUAAAAAAAUUCAGAAAUUUGAAAAUAAAAAAAUUCAAAAAAAAAUUCAAAAAAAAAUUCAAAAAAAAUCAUAAAAUUUCCUUACCAACCGGGACUAAAGGUGGAGCUCCACGUGGCCGCGACCUUUAGUCCCGGUUCCAGUUUGAACCGGGACUAAAGGGGGGAGGCAUUAGUAACGACCCUUUAGUCCCGGUUCAAGAACCGGGACUAAAGGCCCUUACGAACCGGGACUAAUGCCCCCUUUUCUACUAGUGCUGGCGCCCCGCGCCCGCCCAAUCCGCGCGUCGCGCGAGACUCCUGUUAUUGUUGGGCCCCACGUGGACCACCCCUCCUCCCUUUUUUAUCUUUCCCCUAACUGCUGCCUUCAUCUCCUACCUCCAGACACAUCCUUUCCCGUGGCCAUUUUUCUUCUUCCUUUUCCCUGCGCUGCUGCCUACCGGCGGCCGCUGCCGGCCGUGUGCUUCGCUGAGCCAGGGGGACUACCCGACUGCUGCUAGUCCUCCUCCUCUGCACAUCUUAUCCCCCAAAACAUCUCUCCUUCUCUCUCAAAUAAGCCAUGGUUCAAGACGAGACAAGGUCUGGGAAGGAGGCUGCAACCGGUACCCAGGGAGCCUGCGACCGGCCAUGAGACGGCGAGCAUGGUGACCUCAGGACGGCGAGGAUAGGGCAACGCUCCUCCAAGAAAACAAUCGAUGUCGUUAUUUUUUCUACAUGCUUCAACCUGCGUCGGAAUUUGCUACAAACGGCAUCGCAUACUGCUGCCAUCGGUGUCACAUUUUUCUGCAAUACAGAAUCGACCUCGCGUUUUUGCUAGAAUCGAUGUCACUUUUUGCUACAACCGUUUUCAUUUUUUUCUACAUAUGUUCAGGCUGAGUUGUGACCCGACGACGGCGGCGAUGACUUUUUUGCUGCAACCGUAAUAGAACUUUGGUACAUCCAGCAACAAUUUUUGCUACAUCCAUUUUUUUUUGCCGGCGACGAUACAAUGGCGAGAUACAACCGCCGGCGAUGAUGACAAGUUUUUCCGCCGGAUAAGCUGCAACGGGCAUCGUCAAAAGCUGGAACCGACCAUCAGCAGAGGUGCAUCUACUGUGGGUGGUGUCCCGGCAACCAUAUCGGGCACCUCUCGCGGAGCUCGACGCCCAUGGCCAUGGCGACAGCCCUCGCGGAGCUCGACGCCCAUGGCCAUGGCAGCACCCCUCGUGGAGCUCGAUGCCGAUGGCCAUGGCAGUACCCCUCGCGGAGCUCGACGCCCAUGGCCACGGUAGCAUCCCUCGCGGAGCUCGACUCCCAUGGCCAUGGCGUGCCCUACCAGUCACGGCGGCAUCCCUCGAGCGGAGCUCGACGAACAUGGUCGUCGUGUCCAUCACCAGGCGGGGGAUCAUGCAUCUCGCGGGUCACAGGGGGGCGCGCGUUCCGCGCGAGGAAGGAGACGAGUUUGGGGGAGAAUCGAACGGUUACAAGCGCGCAAAUCUUACGGCUACCAAGCGACCGGACAAACUUUCGGCCAGUGCGCCAGUGCCUAUUGUUGCCCAAUCACAAAAGACAAUCUGGAGGAAGGCAGCCGCUUGCACUGCUGGGGAGAGGGUCUAGAAAAUAUAGAACUUUCCCCCAAAAUAAGAAUCUCCUCAAAAAACAGAGCAGGAGUAGAUGAUGAACCGCCGCCGACAUGUACCUGCCUUUACCUUCUCGCAUGUGCGCCCUCGAAUAUCAAUGGCGCACCGGCUUGUGCGCCCUCCUUCAAACUACCAUGGAUACACAUCCACAUAUGCAUAGGCCAUCUAGGAUUCACAAACCUGAAAUAAAAGGAGAUAUCAAAACUCGAGUGGAAGGGCAAUGAGUAGAGAUUGAAUUGGUUCAUUUUCUUCUAGAUGGACUGCAUCAGGGAUCGUACCUUGCAGUAUAUAGGAGAACAUGGAGAGGCGGCAGAGGAGGAGGAGUGGCGCUGGCAGAAGAGAUGCGGCCAUGCGGGGAAACCUGUUUUUUCUUUGGGUUUCCAUACGAAGACCUAUUUUUUUGUAAGGAGACGUACCUGUGGGAUAAUUUGCUAGGACUCUCAGGGAUUUUAUCUAACGGCUGCAGAUAUUUCAUACUGAUAUCUGAUGGUUAAUUUUAUUAGUUUUAUAUAGGUUUAGCGUGACCCUUUUUAUUUGGGUUCCAUACAAAGAACUAUUUUUCUUGUAAGGAGACGUACGUGUGGGAUAAUUUGCUAGGACUCUCUUAGUGAUUUCAUCCAACGGCUGUAGAUAUUUUAUACUGAGAUCAGAUGGUUAUUUUUGUUAGUUUUGUAGGAUUAACGUGAUUCCUCGUUUGGUGCCUCAAUUAGUAAAUAUAAGAUAUAAGAUAAGAUUGUGAGGGACUAAUUUUUUUUUGAAAGGAAAAGUUGAAACAGACACUCACUUCCAUGAACAACCGGUGGCUCCAUGCAUGCAUGCAUGAUACAUCGCACGCAGUACGCAAGCGGGCUGUUGCCAAGCUAACUAAUGGCGCCCGGCCGACAACACAGUACAGCUAGUAGAGCACUCGCUGCCAAACGCCUACGUGAGAGACCCUCGUGAGCCCAGCUAUACAACCUCCGCUUCUCCACCCAUCCUCGUUCACUUCGCAUCCGCAGCCGAAUUCCCCGGUCUCCACCGCUCAGUCCCCCGGACCGCCGGACCUCUCCUCGCCUUGCCAUGGCAGCCGCAGCACUGAGGGCGCAGCUGAACGCCCAUAUCGCCGGCAUGUACACCAAUGUGAGGCCCUUCCCCUCCCCUCUAGUCGUGUGGUAUUGGAUUUUGGCUUGGCUGGACGACUAACUUGGCCUUUGCCUUUGCUUUGGCGUGGUCGAUGUCGAUCCAGGGUGUGGUGGACGAGGAUACAUUCGAGGAGCUGCGGGACGAGGGCACCGCCACCGAGGUCUCCCGUCUCUUCAUCUACGACGCCUCCGAGAUCAUCGACGACAUCGACCUCCUGAUGUCCGCCCCCACGCCCUCUGUCAUCUCUCCCUCUGCUCUCUGUCUCGAACUGACUCAUCUUAAUGAUCUGCUCUGGAAAUCGCAGGGAGGAACCCGAAGUGGACUUUGACGAGGUGGAAGCCCUGACGCAGCAGCUCAUGCGGUGCACUACCAGGUGAUGACCAUCAUAAACCCUUUCUCUCUCUUCCACCUGUUUAUUUUUAACUCUAUGUUUGUUUGCCCGCUGCGUCAAUGUCGUGCGAUUCAGAUCUGUUUAUUGUAGUGGGCAACAGAUUCUUAUUUGUCGGUUGCACUACCCCAUAGGCGUAAUUAGAAGAAUCGAGUUUAGUUGCGUUUAGUGUAACGGAGUUACCGGUAUCCCGAUUAAUAUCAAUAUUAUGAUGAGGAUAAAUUGUUGCCCUUUUUGGAAUAUUCCUGGUAUUAAUGAUCUGCUAUUCUGUGUAUUACUAAUGGUGUUUUUUCUGGUAUUACUGAUCUGCUAUUCUAUGUAUCUCUAAUGGUGUUUUUUCUAGUUUGUCCACGGCAUAUUUGGAUGUGUCGGCAUGGGGUGUGUACCUCACGACACGGCCACACAAUUGAGGUUUGUUUCGUUUUACAGGCGUCGUAUAGCCAUAGGUAGAAGAGCUGAGUUUAGUCAUAUAUCGUGUAACGAAAUUGUUGGUAUUCUUCUCAAUGUUAAUCAAAUCGUAUAGCUUGGCGAGGGGAAUUUUUGUCGUUUUGCAAAUGUUUGUUCUACUAUCGUGUCUGUUCUUCCGGCAAUACCAUUAUUCUAGGUUGAGAAUGAAAAAAAAUGUCGUUUUAUAAGCAUGGCUGGUAUUAAUGAUCUGCAAUUCUACAUAAUGCCAAUGGCCAUUUUUUCUGUUUCACCAUUGGAACGGUGUUGUUUCUGUUCAGAUUUGUCAGGCGCAGAGUGUGUACGUCAUGGACGCCAUUUGGGUGUCGUAUAUCCAAAAUUAGAAGACCUGAUUGUAGUAGUGUCUCGUGUAGCAGAAUUGUCGGUAUUCAUGACAAUUUCAUGGUUCGGCAAGAAAAACUUUGUCGUUUUCUAAAUAUUUCUGGUACUACUGAUCUACUAUUGCACAUAGCGACAAUGAUGUUUUUUUUUCUGCUUCAUCAAACAAUUUAUGGAGUCGACAAUCAUGAUAGGAAAUGGCUCCUUGAGAAUAUUAUUGAGUUGACGUCUCAGUUUAUAAUAAGUUUGAUAAGUUCCUAAUUUCCUGCUCUGCAUUUUUUUGCAUGUUUCAGUGUUGGUGCACAGCAAGUGAACCUCGCCUGCAUGCACUUCGGCAAUUUCUAUGCCAUACAAUACAAACAAGGGUCAGAACUUAAUAGCUUAUUUAAUAUUGCUACACAAUAAUUAUUCGCAACAUUGUUUUUCAAUGUCUCUAUGUAAACCUGACAGCUCACGUUGUCUUUCUGUCAUUAUUUUCAGCUCAUACCAAUCUAACGUUGUUAAGAAGUAACCUGAUUUGCUUUUUCACUUCAUCUGCAAUCACGUUGUUGAUAUUACCCGGUUCACUAUCUGAAUAUGCUACCAUUUGAUGGUUCUCUUGUAAUUUAUUGGCUCUAUACUUUUGUUUAUAGCACAACUAAAUUCUUAUAUGGCUAGAGAUUUUUCUUUUUUGAAAUAUAGGGUUACAAUUUUUGAACCAUUUUCAUCUCAGUUCUGUUAACCUCUUCAGAAUUUGACAAUGUGGUAUUUUUGCAUUAUUUCAGGUGUCUCGUGUCACUGGCUCUUGUUAGGAAUGAGUUCUAUAUUGUGCGACAUGAGUUGGAGAUCAUGAUGCAGGUAGCACCUUAUGUGCCUAAUGUUGGAUUUUGAUACCAACUUUCCACUAGUUUCACAACCCAUAGAUUGGUCAUAUUAAGAUAGAGAAAAGGGAACAAUCUUUAAUCCUUAAUCUAAUUCUUUUGACAUUUAGAUUUGGAGCACUUAGUUCGAGGUACCGAAAAGUCUCAUUUAGCCGUUAAAUGAUUAUGUGGUAAUUUUGUCAUCAUGUUUGGUAGAUGCACAGGGUAGCUAAAAAAAGUGGGAGAAAUUCUCUGUUUCCCAGCUUAAAUUAAGCUCACCAAAUGCCCAAAUAAGAAACUAGCUAACUUGUAACAUGGCUGAUUAGUGAAACCAUGUGACUUGAGCACCAUUAUGUGCCAUAGACUUAUCUUAAUCAUUUUUCGGAAGGUACUUCUCUUAAUCGUUAACCUAUUAUUCAUCUUUUGUUGCAGCUCGAAGAGCAGAUCGCGACAUGUGGUCCUAACUCCUAAGUAGCGGCAAGUGAAGGGGGAAGAGCGUGGCCCCAUGCAAUCCCUUGCAUUAUGUGGUCCAUGUGCCUCCGAAGAUGUAGCGGUUUUCAAAGGGCGUCUGGCACUAUCGGGUGCGCGUAAAACUUAGAUGAAUAUUCUCGCGUCGGAACUUUGGGCUCGUAACCCUGUGAAAGAAAACUGUUGCCGUGUGUUGAUGUCAGUGUGAAGUCCAUAUUCUAGAGUAUCGUGGAUGUGUUGCCCCCCGCCUACAGGCUGUUUAUAAAACAUAUACUUGGUUGGUUGGUCCUCUAGUGACUUUGUUUUGCUGUUUCUUCUGUUUGUUUUUCUCUAUAAGCAAGUCUUGUUGUUGGUUGUUGUACCUAGAGUGUAGCCAAUCACCAUAUUUGGGCAUAUUAAACAUGUCGUUUCGGUCUGAAAUUUCAGCGUGGCCUUCUUAUAAGACUGCGACGGCACCACGAGCAGUAGCUGGAGGAGGGGCAAAACAUAGGGGAUGGUCUGCGAGGUCACAUCCAGGGAUCGCAAAGCUGUCGGUUCGCGAGACGGCGUGAAGAGCAUCUCAGGACUUAUGUAUGUUUGCAUUGGUAUGAAAAGUCUGGCUAAUUAAGUCGCCAAUUACAGCUCCAACGAUGAUCGCUGGAACAUCAUACUACUCCUAGUCCACAUAGUUAUUUAGACUACCCUGAAUCACCUGCUGGGCAAGAGAACAUGUGGCCAUCUUCGUCUUUCUCCUGUAGUGGCUGAUCUCACCUGUUGCGAACCAUGUUCUUCUGUGAAACUUCGGGUCUUUGAUGGUAGUAGAAACUGUUGUUAUUCAUCACCAUGGCUAGCCGAUGCGCGUACGGCCUCCCUUCCAUGACUGCUAUCGCUUCUCAUGCUGGCUCGCCGACUAGGGUAUAUGAUUGGUUGAUGAAAUAAAAACUCCACCACACAUCAAAUUCUUUGCCGUCCGCUAGCGUACGACAUAGCAGACGGCAAAGAGGGAGGGUGGCCCACUAACGAGUACCACCUAACGACCACUUUUUUUGCCGUCUGCCAGCGGACGACAAAGAUUGCAGUUGGCUACAUACUGCCUACCCACCUCCCACUCUCCAUUUCUCUUUCUCUCUCACUCCACCGUGCCGACCCCGACCCCAACCGCCGCCGCCACUCCNNNNNNNNNNNNNNNNNNNNNNNNNNNNNNNNNNNNNNNNNNNNNNNNNNNNNNNNNNNNNNNNNNNNNNNNNNNNNNNNNNNNNNNNNNNNNNNNNNNNNNNNNNNNNNNNNNNNNNNNNNNNNNNNNNNNNNNNNNNNNNNNNNNNNNNNNNNNNNNNNNNNNNNNNNNNNNNNNNNNNNNNNNNNNNNNNNNNNNNNNNNNNNNNNNNNNNNNNNNNNNNNNNNNNNNNNNNNNNNNNNNNNNNNNNNNNNNNNNNNNNNNNNNNNNNNNNNNNNNNNNNNNNNNNNNNNNNNNNNNNNNNNNNNNNNNNNNNNNNNNNNNNNNNNNNNNNNNNNNNNNNNNNNNNNNNNNNNNNNNNNNNNNNNNNNNNNNNNNNNNNNNNNNNNNNNNNNNNNNNNNNNNNNNNNNNNNNNNNNNNNNNNNNNNNNNNNNNNNNNNNNNNNNNNNNNNNNNNNNNNNNNNNNNNNNNNNNNNNNNNNNNNNNNNNNNNNNNNNNNNNNNNNNNNNNNNNNNNNNNNNNNNNNNNNNNNNNNNNNNNNNNNNNNNNNNNNNNNNNNNNNNNNNNNNNNNNNNNNNNNNNNNNNNNNNNNNNNNNNNNNNNNNNNNNNNNNNNNNNNNNNNNNNNNNNNNNNNNNNNNNNNNNNNNNNNNNNNNNNNNNNNNNNNNNNNNNNNNNNNNNNNNNNNNNNNNNNNNNNNNNNNNNNNNNNNNNNNNNNNNNNNNNNNNNNNNNNNNNNNNNNNNNNNNNNNNNNNNNNNNNNNNNNNNNNNNNNNNNNNNNNNNNNNNNNNNNNNNNNNCCUUUUGUACUGCUAGUAAUUAGGUUAGUUAGUACUGUUGGUUUCUUUUUUUUCUACUGCUAGUAAUUAGGUUAGUUAGUACUGUUAGUCAGUGGCGGAUCCACCAUGGGGCAUGGGUGUACAUAAAUUAGUUUGCCAAAAAUUCAUAUAUAGAUAUGUAUACAUAUUAGAUGACAGAAAUACUAGCUUAUAGGCCCAAUAGGCUCAGUUCAGGAGCAGUCCAAUAGCUAGCCACUUCUGUUAUUCUGUCUACGCACGCACACGACAGAGUAAACAAUGAUAUUGUCAACUGAAUGUGUAGCUGCUAUUCAGAUUCAUUGUGAAAUCCCCAACUGAAUGUGUAGCUGCUUUUCACAUUACGAGAGAAAUAGUUGUAAAUGACACCGAGUGAGGAUCUGCUUAAUUUCAUUAGCAGGAAAAAAAAAUUGUCUUUCAAUGGUAGGUAGUAGAGCAUCUCUUGAUUUAUCGUUGAAUUGUAAGUUAUAGAUGACACCUGGUUAAGCUUGCACAUCUUUUUUUUCUGUGGAGUUCACAGAGCAGGAUUUGAUGCAUAUAUAACUUGAUUACAUUUUAUUAGGAGGGAGUUUUUUUCCAAGUGAACGAUGAUGUUAUCAUGUUGUAGUAUUCUCUCUCUAUUUUGUAAUUUUCUUAAUCUUUUGAGAUAUUGUGAAAUUUGUAUUGCUGUGAACCAAUUGGCUUGACUAUUAGGGUGCAAAAAAUAUUUAACACCCAAUGUUGAAAUUUUGGAUCGGCCACUGCUGUUAGUUAGGUUAGUUUGAUUUUCUAGGUUAGUUAGGUUAGUUCUAGGUUUGUCAGGUUAGUUUCUAGGUUAGUUCUUGGAAAAAAAUAUUACGAGAAGAAAAGAAGAAGAAUAAGAAGAAGAGGAGGGGGGAGAAGAAGACAAAGGGGAGGAGAAGAAGAAGAAGAAGAAGAAGAAGAAGAAGAAGAAGAGGAGGAGGAGGAGGAGGAGGAGGAGGAGAAGAAGAAAAGGGGCAGGAGAAGAAAAGAAGAAGAAGAUGAUGAAGAAGAGGAGGAGGAGGAGGAGGAGGAGGAGGAGAANNNNNNNNNNNNNNNNNNNNNNNNNNNNNNNNNNNNNNNNNNNNNNNNNNNNNNNNNNNNNNNNNNNNNNNNNNNNNNNNNNNNNNNNNNNNNNNNNNNNNNNNNNNNNNNNNNNNNNNNNNNNNNNNNNNNNNNNNNNNNNNNNNNNNNNNNNNNNNNNNNNNNNNNNNNNNNNNNNNNNNNNNNNNNNNNNNNNNNNNNNNNNNNNNNNNNNNNNNNNNNNNNNNNNNNNNNNNNNNNNNNNNNNNNNNNNNNNNNNNNNNNNNNNNNNNNNNNNNNNNNNNNNNNNNNNNNNNNNNNNNNNNNNNNNNNNNNNNNNNNNNNNNNNNNNNNNNNNNNNNNNNNNNNNNNNNNNNNNNNNNNNNNNNNNNNNNNNNNNNNNNNNNNNNNNNNNNNNNNNNNNNNNNNNNNNNNNNNNNNNNNNNNNNNNNNNNNNNNNNNNNNNNNNNNNNNNNNNNNNNNNNNNNNNNNNNNNNNNNNNNNNNNNNNNNNNNNNNNNNNNNNNNNNNNNNNNNNNNNNNNNNNNNNNNNNNNNNNNNNNNNNNNNNNNNNNNNNNNNNNNNNNNNNNNNNNNNNNNNNNNNNNNNNNNNNNNNNNNNNNNNNNNNNNNNNNNNNNNNNNNNNNNNNNNNNNNNNNNNNNNNNNNNNNNNNNNNNNNNNNNNNNNNNNNNNNNNNNNNNNNNNNNNNNNNNNNNNNNNNNNNNNNNNNNNNNNNNNNNNNNNNNNNNNNNNNNNNNNNNNNNNNNNNNNNNNNNNNNNNNNNNNNNNNNNNNNNNNNNNNNNNNNNNNNNNNNNNNNNNNNNNNNNNNNNNNNNNNNNNNNNNNNNNNNNNNNNNNNNNNNNNNNNNNNNNNNNNNNNNNNNNNNNNNNNNNNNNNNNNNNNNNNNNNNNNNNNNNNNNNNNNNNNNNNNNNNNNNNNNNNNNNNNNNNNNNNNNNNNNNNNNNNNNNNNNNNNNNNNNNNNNNNUAUAUAUAUUAUUAAUUAGUUCAUGUUAUUAGGUAUUCAAUUUUUUAUUAUGUUCAUGAUGAUGAUACACACUUAAUUUUUUUGAUGUUUAUGUUGUACUAAUUUCGUAUACUCUUUCUCAUUGCAGGUGUUGACAGAUGGUGGGCGCGGGUCGAGAGCGCUCCGAGCCUCCUUCCUCAGCGCGUGCUGGGAAGGUGUGCUAUUAUUCCAUCCCAGCACCUUCGGAGAGCGCUGGUAGACAGCAUAUGCAGACACCGGCGGGCGCUUCUUCUUUGACCGAGAGAGGUCGGGGGAAGAUGAAGAGGGGUGUAGCUAGAGGUGGAUGUGGCGGUGGGAGAGGUAGGAAGGCUGCUGCGCCUUCCACGCCGCCACCCCCAGCCGAUUCUUCAGACUACUAGAGUGCUCCGUCUCAGGUGGACCCGUCUGACUUGGACCCGCCUCGGACUCCGGCCACGAGCCUCGGGCGGACGAGCCUCGGGUCGCCGAGCCUACGUCCGAUGAGACUCGGGUCCCAGAGUCUUCGUCCCAGGAGACUCAGGUCCCAGAGUCUUCGUCCCACGUGACUCCUGAGACUAGUGGCCAUGCUAAUGGUGGCGAGGACACCUUGUCUGACAAUAGCUACAAUGAUGGCGAGCUGGUUGAGGGGGCAACAAGGUCUACCAGCAUGGUGGUACAAAGCUCCCGUCCAUGCCGGCGAGCCGCGACCAGAGGUGGUUGAUUGAGCCUAACGGGGAGAAGUAAGUGCAUUUACUCCUUUUUAACCUUUUGCCUUCAUGUUUCUUCAAAUUAAUAUCUAAUGUGUUGGCCUUGUCAUAUUGCAAGGGUUGGACACACGCCUCUUGUGUCCGCAGGCCCAACCAGGUCCUUGGUGUGAUUUGGCGGCACCACUACUCGGGGUGGGUCACGUGCCUGAUGAGGGUGAGAUUCCACAGCUAGCACUUACCUGGGAGCUGUACAAGGCUGCCCCGGCCCCGCCGAGGGAGAUGGUCGACAGUGUCAUGUGCGAGACGGUGGCUGACAUUGUGAGACGACGGUUUUAGGUAAAUUCUCCUUUGUAGAAUUAAAAAUCAACAGUACCUAGUGAUUGUACUAAUCAGUAUUGUCUUGUUUGGCUGCAUACCUUCUACAUGUGUCUUGAGGAACACAAGGCGGACGCGGCUAUGGUUCUCGAAGCCGAAUGCAAGCGCCUACUUCAGAACUUACGAUACGAGGCUCGGGCGUAGGCUGUUCGAGACUACUACACCUUGACUAACAUCAGGAGGGCCAAGAAGAAGUGCCGCGGCAAGUAUCUAAGUAAGGAGAAGUACAUGAAGGUAAUUACCUAUUCUUAAGGCCUUGUACUUAGUUUCCUUGAUUUGAUUUGUAGGCGUAGUGCUGAAAUUUCUCUUUGUCUAACUUAGGUGCUCCCGAGAUGGUGUGCGGAUAGGAUGGACUAUUGGGAGAGGUAGGUAGAUGAGUGGUGCUCUCCCCAAUGGCUAGCCGUCCACAACAAGGCUAGGGAAGCGUGCCCAGAGGCAAGGUGUGCCACACCAUCAAGGGAACUCCAACCUAUUUGAGUACGGGGAUCACUGUGUUGGGGAACGUAGCAGAAAUUCAAAAUUUUCCUACGUGUCAUCAAGAUCUAUCUAUGGAGAAACCAGCAACGAGGGGAAGGAGAGUGCAUCUACAUACCCUUGUAGAUUGCUAAGCGGAAGCGUUCAAGAGAAUGGGGUUGAAGGAGUCGUACUCGUCGUGAUCCAAAUCACCGGAGAUCCGAGUGCCGAACGGACGGCACCUCUGCGUUCAACACACGUACAGCCCGGUGACAUCUCCCAUGCCUUGAUCCAACAAGGAGAGAGGGAGAGGUUGAGAAAGACUCCAUCCAGCAGCAGCACAAUGGCGUGGUGGUGGUGGAGGAGCGUGGCAAUCCUGCAGGGCUUCGCCAAGCACCUGCGGAAGACGGAGGUGUCACGGGAGGGAGGGAGGCGCCAGGGCUUCAGGUGUGGCUGCCCUCCCUCUCCUCCACUAUAUAUAGGGUCAAGGGAGAGGGGAGGAGGCGCUGCCUUGCCCCUUCCUCCAAGGAAGGGGUGCGGCCAAGGGAGGGGAGGAGUCCAUCCUCCCCAAGGCACCUCGGAGGUGCCUUCCCCUUUUAGGAUUCUCCCCUCCCAGGUCUCCUUGGCGCAUGGGCCUCUUGGGGCUGGUGCCCUUGGCCCAUAUUGGCCAAGGCGCACCCCCUACAGCCCAUGUGGCCCCCCGGGGCAGGUGGACCCCCCCGGUGGACCCCCGGACCCCUUUCGGCACUCCCGGUACAAUACCGAUAAAGUGCGAAACUUUUCCGGCGACCAAAAUAAGACUUCCCAUAUAUAAAUCUUUACCUCCGGACCAUUCCGGAACUCCUCAUGACGUCCGGGAUCUCAUCCGGGACUCCGAACAACAUGCGGUAACCACAUACAAACUUCCUUUAUAACCCUAGCGUCAUCGAACCUUAAGUGUGUAGACCCUACGGGUUCGGGAGACAUGUAGUCAUGACCGAGACGUUCUCCGAUCAAUAACCAACAGCGGGAUCUGGAUACGCAUGUUGGCUCCCACAUGUUCCACGAUGAUCUCAUCGGAUGAACCACGAUGUCAAGGACUCAAUCGAUCCCGUAUACAAUUCCCUUUGUCUAGUGGUAUUAUACUUGCCCGAGAUUCGAUCGUUGGUAUACCGAUACCUUGCUCAAUCUCGUUACCGGCAAGUCUCUUUACUCGUUCCGUAACACAUCAUCCCGUGAUAAACCCCUUGGUCACAUUGUGCACACUAUGAUGAUGUCCUACCGAGUGUGCCCAGAGAUACCUCUCCGUUUACAUGGAGUGACAAAUCCCAGUCUCGAUUCGUGCCAACCCUACAUACACUUUCGGAGAUACCUGUAGUGCACCUUUAUAGCCACCCAGUUACGUUGUGACGUAUGGUACACCCAAAGCAUUCCUACGGUAUCCGGGAGUAGCACAAUCUCAUGGUCUAAGGAAAAGAUACUUGACAUUAGAAAAGCUUCAGCAUACGAACUACACGAUCUCUAUGCUAGGCUUAGGAUUGGGUCUUGUCCAUCACAUCAUUCUCCUAAUGAUGCGAUCCCGUUAAUGACAUCCAAUGUCCAUGGUCAGGAAACCGUAACCAUCUAUUGAUCAACGAGAUAGUCAACUAGAGGCUUACUAGGGACAUGGUGUUGUCUAUGUAUCCACACAUGUGUCUGAGUUUCCUAUCAAUAAAAUUAUAGCAUGGAUAAUAAACGAUUAUCAUGAACAAAGAAAUAUAAUAAUAACUUAUUUGUUAUUGCCUCUAGGGCAUAUUUCCAACAGUCUCCCACUUGCACUAGAGUCAAUAAUCUAGUUCACAUCGCCAUGUGAUUAACACUCACAGGUCACAUCGCCAUGUGACCAACAUCCAAAGAGUUUACUAGUGUCAUUAAACUAGUUCACAUCAUCAUGUGAUUAAGGCUCAAUGAAUUCUGGGGUUUGAUCAUGUUUUGCUUGAGAGAGGUUUUAGUCAACGGGUCUGCAACAUUCAGAUCCGUAUGUACUUCGCAAUUCUCUAUGUCAUAUUAUAAAUACUGCUUCCACGCUCCACUUGGAGCUAUUCCAAAUGGUUGUUCCACUAUACGUAUCCGGUUUGCUACUCAGAGUCAUUCAGAUAGGUGUUAAAGCUUGCAUCGACGUAACCCUUUACGCCGAACUCUUUAUCACCUCCAUAAUCGAGAAACAUGUCCUUAUUACUCCAAGGACAAUUUUGACCGCUAUCUGGUGAUCCACUCCUUGAUCACCUUUGUACCCUCUUGCCAGACAUGUGGCAAGGCACACAUCAGGUGCGAUACAUAGCAUAGCAUACUGUAGAGCCUACGUCUAAAGCAUAGGGGACGACCUUCGUCCUUUCUCUCUUUUCUGCCGUGGUCGAGCUUUAAGUCUUAACUUCAUACCUUACAUCUCUGGGAAGAACUCCUUCUUUGACUGAUCCAUCUUGAACACCUUCAAGAUCAUGUCAAGGUAUGUGCUCAUUUGAAAAUAUUAUUAAGCAUUUCUGAUCUAUCCUCAUAGAUCUUGAUGCUCAAUGUUCAAGUAGCUUAAUCCAGGUUUUUCUAUUCAAAAACACCUUUCAAAUAACUCUAUAUGCUUUCCAGAAAUUCUACAUCAUUUCUGAUCAACAAUAUGUCAACAACAUAUACUCAUCAGAAAUUCUAUAGUGCUCCCACUCACUUCUUUGGAAAUACAAGUUUCUCAUAAACUUUGUAUAAACCCAAAAUCUUUGAUCAUCUCAUCAAAGCGCACAUUCCAACUCCGAGAUGCUUACUCCAGUCCUUAGAAGGAUCGCUGGAGCCAGCAUACCUUUUUGCAUCCUUAGGAUCGACAAAACUUUUCUGAUUGUAUCACAUACAACCUUUCCUUACGAAAACUGGUAAGGAAACUCGUCUUGACAUCCAUCUGCCAGAUUUCAUAAAUGUAGCUAAUGCUAACAUGAUUCCGACGGACUUAAGCAUCCCUACGGAUGAGAAAAUCUCAUCGUAGUCAACUCGUUGAACUUGUGAAAAACUCUUCGCCACAAGUCGAGCUUCAUAGUCGGUGACAUUACCGUCCAUGUCCGUCUUCUUCUUAAAGAUCCAUUUAUUUCAAUGGCUUGCCGAUCAUCGGGCAAGUCCUCCGAAGUCCAUGCUUUGUUAUGAUACAUGGAUCCUAUCUCGGAUUUCAUGGCUUCUAACCAUUUGUCGGAAUUGGGGCGCACCAUCGCUUCUCCAUAGCUCGUAGGUUCAUUGUUGUCUGGCAACAUGACCUUCAAGACAGGAUUACUGUGCCACUCUGAAGUGGUACGCAUCCUUGUCACCCUAUGAGGUACGGUAGUGACUUGAUCCAAAACUUCAUGAUCACUAUCAUAAGCUUCUACUUCAAUUGGUGUAGGUGCCAUAGGAACAACUUCAUAUGCCCUGCUACACACUAGUUGAAGUGACUGUUCAAUAACCUCAUCAAGUCUCCACAAUCCUCCCACUCAAUUCUUCGAGACAAACUUUUCCUCGAGAAAGGACCCGAUUCAAGAAACAAUCCCUAUUGCUUUCGGAUCUGAAUUAGGAGGUAUACCCAACUGUUUUAGGUGUCCUAUGAAGAUGCAUUUUAUCCGCUUUGGGUUCGAGCUUAUCAACCUGAAACUUUUUCACAUAAGCGUCGCAGCCCCAAACUUUUAAGAAACGACAACUUAGGUUUCUCCAAACGGUGUCGUCUCAACGGAAUUACGUGGUACCCUAUUAAAGUGAGUGCGGUUGUCUCUAAUGCCUAACCCAUGAAUGAUAGUGGUAAUUCAAUAAGAGACAUCAAGGUAUGCACCAUAUCCAAUAGGGUGCUACUAUGAUGUUCGGACACACCAUCACAUUAUGGUGUUCCAGGUGGUAUUAAUUGUGAAACAAUUUCCACAAUGUCUUAAUUGUGUGCCAAAACUCGUAACUCAGAUAUUCAUCUCUAUGAUCAUAUCAUAGACAUUCUAUCCUCUUGUCACGAAGAUCUUAAACUUCACUCUGAAAUUACUUGAACCAUUCCAUAAUUCAGACUUGUGUUUCAUCAAGUAAAUAUACUCAACAUCUACUUGAAUCAUCUGUGAAGUAAGAACAUAACAAUAUUCACUGCAUGCCUCAGCACUCAUUGGACUGCACACAUCAAAAUGUGUUACUUCCAACAAGUUGCUAUCUAGUUCCAUCUUACUGAAACUGAGGCUUUUCAGUCAUCUUGUACAUGUGGUAUGAUUUGCAUAUCUCAAGUGAUUCAAAAUCAAGUGAGUCUAAACGAUCCAUCUGCAUGGAGUUUCUUCAUGUGUAUGCACCAAUAGACAUGGUUCGCAUGUCUCAAACUUUUCAAAAAUGAGUGAGUCCAAAGAUCCAUCAACAUGGAGCUUCUUCAUGCGUUUUAUACCAAUAUGACUUACAUGGCAGUGCCACAAGUAAGUGGUACUAUCAUUACUAUCUUAUAAUUUUUGGCAUGAAAAUGUGUAUCACUACGAUCGAGAUUCAGUAAACCAUUCCUUUAGGUGCAAGACCAUUGAAGGUAUUAUUCAAAUAAAUAGAGUAACCAUUAUUCUCCUUAAAUGAAUAACCGUAUUGCGAUAGACAUAAUCCAAUCAUGUCUAUGCUCAACGCAAACACCAAAUGACAAUUAUUCAGGUUUAAUACUAAUCUUGAUGGUAGAGGGAGCGUGCGAUGUUUGAUCACAUCAAACUUGGAAACACUUCCAACACAUAUCGUCAGCUCACCUUUAGCUAGUCUCCGUUUAUUCCGUAGCUCUUUUAUUUCGAGUUACUAACACUUAGCAACCGAACCGGUAUCUAAUACCCUGGUGCUACUAGGAGUACUAGUAAAGUACACAUUAACAUAAUGUAUAUCCAAUAUACUUCUAUCAACCUUGCCAGCCUUCUCAUCUACCAAGUAUCUAGGGUAAUUCCGCUCUAGUGACUAUUCCCCUUAUCACAGAAGCACUUAGUCUCGGGUUUGGGUUCAACCUUGGGUUUCUUCACUGGAGCAGCAGCUGAUUUGCCGUUUCAUGAAGUAUCCCUUCUUGCCCUUGCCCUUCUUGAAACUAGUGGUUUCACCAACCAUCAACAAUUGAUGCUCCUUCUUGAUUUCUACUUUCGCGGUGUCAAACAUCGUGAAUACCUCAAGGAUCAUCAUAUCUAUCCCUGAUAUGUUAUAGUUCAUCACGAAGCUCUAGCAGCUUGGUGGCAAUGACUUUGGAGAAACAUCACUAUCUCAUCUGGAAGAUCAACUCCCACUCGAUUCAAGUGAUUGUUCCACUCAGACAAUCUGAUCACAAGCUCAACGAUUGAGUUUUUCUCCCUUAGUUUGCAGGCUAAGAAAAUCGUCGGAGGUCUCAUAACUCUUGACGUGGGCACGAGCCUGAAUUCCUAAUUUCAGCCCUCGAAACAUCUCAUAUGUUCCGCAACGUUUCGAAAACGUCUUUGGUGCCUCUACUCUAAACCAUUAAACUGAACUAGCAUGUAGUUAUCAAAACGUGUAUGUCCGAUGUUCGCAACAUCCACAAACAAUGUUUGGGGUUCAGCACACUAAGCGGUGCAUUAAGGACAUAAGCUUUCUACUGUCCGCAUAAUCGCUACUAUCAACUUUCAACUAUAUUUUCUCUAGGAACAUAUCUAAACAGUGGAACUAAAGCGCGAGCUUACGACAUAUUUUGCAAAAGGUAUUUUGACUAUGUUCAGGAUAAUUAAGUUCAUCUUAUGAACUCCCACUCAGAUAGACAUCCCUCUAGUCAUCUAAGUGAUUACAUGAUCCGAGUCAACUAGGCCGUGUCCGAUCAUCACGUGAGACGGACUAGUCAUCAUCGGUGAACAUCUUCAUGUUGAUCGUAUCUACUAUACGACUCAUGCUCGACCUUUCGGUCUCUGUGUUCCGAGGCCAUGUCUGUACAUGCUAGGCUCGUCAAGUUAACCCUAAGUGUUUCACGUGUGUAAAUCUGUCUUACACCCGUUGUAUGUGAACGUAAGAAUCCAUCACACCCGAUCAUCACGUGGUGCUUAGAAGCGACGAACUUUAGCAACGGUGCACAGUUAGGGGAGAACACUUCUUGAAAUUGUUGUAAGGGAUCAUCUUAUUUACUACCGUUGUUCUAAGUAAACAAGAUGCAUAAACAUAAUAAACAUCACAUGCAAUUAUAUAGUAGUGAUAUGAUAUGGCCAAUAUCAUAUAGCUCCACUGAUCUCCAUCUUCGGGGCUCCAUGAUCAUCAUCGUCACCGGCAUGACACCAUGAUCUCCAUCAUCAUGAUCUCCAUCAUCGUGUCUUCAUGAAGUUGUCUCGCCAACUAUUACUUCUACUACUAUGGCUACCGGUUAGCAAUAAAGUAAAGUAAUUACAUGGCGUUGUUCAAUGACACACAGGUCAUACAAUAAAUAAAGACAACUCCUAUGGCUCCUGCCGGUUGUCAUACUCAUCGACAUGCAAGUCGUGAUUCCUAUUACAAGAACAUGAUCAAUCUCAUACAUCACAUAUCAUUCAUCACAUUCUUCUUGGCCAUAUCACAUCACAUAGCAUACCCUGCAAAAACAAGUUAGACGUCCUCUAAUUGUUGUUUGCAUGUUUUACGUGGCUGCUAUGGGUUUCUAGCAAGAACGUUUCUUACCUACGCAAAAACCACAACGUGAUAUGUCAAUUGCUAUUUACCCUUCAUAAGGACCCUUUUCAUCGAAUCCGUUCCGACUAAAGUGGGAGAGACUGGCACCCGCUAGCCACCUUAUGCACCAAGUGCAUGUCAGUCGGUGGAACCUGUCUCACGUAAGUGUACGUGUAAGGUCGGUCCGGGCCGCUUCAUCCCACAAUACCGUCGAAACAAGAUUGGACUAGUAACGGUAAGCAUAUUGAACAAGAUCAACGCCCACAACUACUUUGUGUUCUACUCGUGCAAAGAAUCUACUCAAUAGACCUAGCUCAUGAUGCCACUGUUGGGGAACGUAGCAGAAAUUCAAAAUUUUCCUACGUGUCACCAAGAUCUAUCUAUGGAGAAACCAGCAACGAGGGGAAGGAGAGUGCAUCUACAUACCCUUGUAGAUCGCUAAGCGGAAGCAUUCAAGAGAACGGGGUUGAAGGAGUCGUACUCGUCGUGAUCCAAAUCACCGGAGAUCCGAGUGCCGAACGGACGGCACCUCCGCGUUCAACACACGUACAGCCCGGUGACGUCUCCCAUGCCUUGAUCCAGCAAGGAGAGAGGGAGAGGUUGAGGAAGACUCCAUCCAGCAGCAGCACAACGACGUGGUGGUGGUGGAGGAGCGUGGCAAUCCUGCAAGGCUUCGCCAAGCACCUGCGGGAGAGGAGGAGGUGUCACGGGAGGGAGGGAGGCGCCAGGGCUUCAGGUGUGGCUGCCCUCCCUCUCCUCCACUAUAUAUAGGGUCAAGGGAGAGGGGGGAGGCGCAGCCUUGCCCCUUCCUCCAAGGAAGGGGUGCGGCCAAGGGAGGGGAGGAGUCCAUCCUCCCCAAGGCACCUCGGAGGUGCCUUCUCCUUUUAGGAUUCUCCCCUCCCCAAGUCUCCUUGGCGCAUGGGCCUCUUGGGGCUGGUGCCCUUGGCCCAUAUUGGCCAAGGCGCACCCCUACAGCCCAUGUGGCCCCCCGGGGCAGGUGGACCCCCCCGGUGGACCCCCGGACCCCUUUCGGCACUCCCGGUACAAUACCGAUAAAGUGCGAAACUUUUCCGGCGACCAAAAUAAGACUUCCCAUAUAUAAAUCUUUACCUCCGGACCAUUACGGAACUCCUCGUGACGUCUGGGAUCUCAUCCGGGACUCCAAACAACAUUCGGUAACCACAUACAAACUUCCUUUAUAACCCUAGCGUCAUCGAACCUUAAGUGUGUAGACCCUACGGGUUCGGGAGACAUGUAGUCAUGACCGAGACGUUCUCCGAUCAAUAACCAACAGCUGGAUCUGGACACCCAUGUUGGCUCCCACAUGUUCCACGAUGAUCUCAUCGGAUGAACCACGAUGUCAAGGACUCAAUCGAUCCCGUAUACAAUUCCCUUUGUCUAGCGGUAUUAUACUUGCCCGAGAUUCGAUCGUCGGUAUACCGGUACCUUGCUCAAUCUCGUUACCGGCAAGUCUCUUUAAUCGUUCCGUAACACAUCAUCCCGUGAUCAACCCCUUGGUCACAUUGUGCACACUAUGAUGAUGUCCUAUCGAGUGGGCCCAGAGAUACCUCUCCGUUUACACGGAGUGACAAAUCCUAGUCUCGAUUCGUGCCAACCCAACAGACACUUUCGGAGAUACCUGUAGUGCACCUUUAUAGCCACCCAGUUACAUUGUGACGUUUGGUACACCCAAAGCAUUCCUACGGUAUCCGGGAGUUGCACAAUCUCAUGGUCUAAGGAAAAGAUACUUGACAUUAGAAAAGCUUCAGCAUACGAACUACACGAUCUCUAUGCUAGGCUUAGGAUUGGGUCUUGUCCAUCACAUCAUUCUCCUAAUGAUGCGAUCCCGUUAUCAAUGACAUCCAAUGUCCAUGGUCAGGAAACCGUAACCAUCUAUUGAUCAACGAGCUAGUCAACUAGAGGCUUACUAGGGACAUGGUGUUGUCUAUGUAUCCACACAUGUAUCUGAGUUUCCUAUCAAUACAAUUACAGCAUGGAUAAUAAACGAUUAUCAUGAACAAAGAAAUAUAAUAAUAUCUUAUUUAUUAUUGCCUCUAGGGCAUAUUUCCAACACACUGUGUAUGUGGUUUGAGCCCUUAACGAUUCAUGCAAUUCCAUUCUUCAUGCUAGCUUGAGCCCUUAACUAAUAUUUUGUUCCUCUCUUUUAGGGGCGACACAACAAGAAGGAGGUGCCACAGUUGUACGACCUCUAUGCCAUGGCACAUACUGCCCCGUACAAGAAGGCCACGACAUUCUUGGAGGAUGACCUUGAUCAUCCAGAGAGCUUCACCAACAUCUCCUCCCACGACAAGCUCGUGAGGUACAGAGACUUUGGGAAGGCCAUGAAAGGGGAGAACUUCAACCCGAGCCAGAGUCCUUUUGAUCCUAAGCUCGUGAUGCUAUCUGGUGAAGGGAGGAAACAUGGCUCGGUAGCCAUUGGGGAUGGACUGAUACGUUGUCCUAGAAGUCUCCAGGAGAUCAAGAAGCGCCAGACGAGGUCUCUUCCUGAGAUGAAGCCUCGACAACAGCAAAUGGAGCUUGCCAUCAAGGCUAGGGCCCAGGAGCUUCUAGCGGAGGCAAACCGGCAGGCGGCGCAGAGGGAGAGGGAGUUGGAGGAGAGGACGGCUAGUAUGUUGGAAGCGGAGAGGAACCGGAAUGACGUGCGUCACUGGGCCUUAUACGAGCUCCUCGUGGUAAGUUUCUCCUGCAUAUUAGCCAAAUCAUGCACGUAAUGUUCGUUUAAUUACUAACUAAUAUGACUGACCCAUGAAUACAAAAUGUGAGUCCGCGUGUGAGAAAAACGGUUAGACCCUUCCGCCGAUGCCCCAGAUUGCUAUAGCGGACACGGUGAGUUUCAUUGUAUGGUCAUUAGUUACUAGUAUUCACAUUUCAGUUGCAUCAUGGUAACUAGACAUUGCAAAUGAUCUUUGAUGCAACAUGCCUCCCGACAAGCAUCGACCGAUCCUUCUCCGUCUCACACUAGCGCAACCCCGACCAGUCCUUCUCUGUCUGGCACUAGCGCAAACCUGACCGUUUCUUCACCCCCAUGAUGAUGGUAAGUUUUCCCAAGUGUUUUGCUUAACAAAUGCAUACUUAGCUUAAGAAAUGACCUUACUUAGCUCCAAAAUGAGAUCUUCUACCUAGGAUAGCUAUAAAAUGACCUAUACUUAGCAUUUUUUCCUCCAAAAUGACAUGAUAUGCUUAGUAGCUAGAAAAUGGCAUAACUACCUAGGAUAGCUCAAUAAUGAUCUAUUGCUAGCUUAGCUAGUUCAUUUAUGACAUAAUUAGCUUACUUAGGUAAAAAUGGCAUAACUACCUCUCUCUCUCUCUCUCCUAAACCUGACAUGGGGACCCUACUCGUCAGUCUCUCUUCCCCUCUGAAUCAUUUUCUAGUGGAGGCACCCUAGCAAAAUACGCCUUCGACGCGACCCUCCUUGGAAUUUUUGUUAAUUCAAUUUAAAACUAUAUUUUGACCCAAACUUAGACUAGCUAUAAUUUCUAAACCAAAAGUCCAAAUGAGUUGAAACUUUUUGCUAUAGUUUUGUCAUGAGCUAAAAUUUCUGUUGGUGUAAUUUGAGAUUUUCCCUUGCUGUCUAGAAUUUAUGGUAUUCGAAAAGGCUUUAUGCGACAUUUUCUUUUUGUUAUUAAACUUAUUUUUAGAAGAAAUUAAUUGUGUGGUAGAAGAUCAGGAGUAUCUUGACACUCCUCUGAACUAAAGCGGUUAUGUAUGUACCAAGGUGUUAUGUGUUGCCAAAAGGCUUGAUCUCUGGGCUGGCAAUGCAAGCUAAACCGGUUACUCCGAGCCAGGGUGACACACUUUCAAAUGUUCCCAAUGAAGGCUCCAUGCUCUGAUGGGUUCCUUGCCCAUUUUUAUCAACAUCAUUGGGAUAUUUGUGGUAAAGAAGUAAUAGAGGCGGUUCUGAGAAUUGUGAGAGGGGAAGAUAGUCCUGAAUGCAUUAAUAAUAAAAUUCUGGUUUUGAUUCUAGAGGUAACAAACCCAACCCUCUUAACACAAUUUAGGCCUAUCAGUUGUGCAAUGUUUUAUACAAUAUAGCUUCCAAGCUUAUUGCAAAUAGAUUGAAGCAAAUCUUACCUGUAGCAUAUCUAAGGAGCAACCAACAUUUGUCCUUGGAAGAAUGAUCACGGAUAAUAUUAUAAGUGCAUACGAGUGCUUACAUUUCAUGAGAUGCAGUGAGGGAAAAAGGUAGUAGCUACUAUGCUUUGAAGCUCGAUAUGAGGAAGGCAUAUGAUAGGUUGGGGUGGGACUAUUCUAAAGCCAUGAUGUGGAAAUUGGGAUUUUCUCCUACAUGGGUACAAAUAGUUAUGGGCAUGGUUCAGACAGUAUCUUUCUCGGUUCUUUUUAAUCGCGAGAGACUUGAUCAAUUACAACACAACAGAGGUAUCCGACAGGGAGAUCUAAUAUCCCCAUAUCUUUUCUUAAUUGCAGCAGAGGGCCUUUAAUGCCUCCUGAAAUCCAGUUCUUCGUCAUCACGCUUAAGUGGCACCAACAACUUCGACUGUGAACCAUCUACUUUUCGCAGAUGACAACCUGUUGCCUUUUAAGCCAAGUCAUGAUGGGGAAGUUGAAGUAUCAAGCUUGCUGGAGAAUUAUUGGUUGGCAUUCAGACGAAGAAUAAAUCAUGACAAGUCCUUUAUAUUUUUCAAUAGAGGAUGCACUUAGGCUCUCAAGGAAGAUGUCAAGAAUACUUUGAACAUCUAAAAUGAUCCACUCAAUGGUAGGAAAUUGUGUAUGCUAACUUAUGUGGGGAAGUCCAAGAACAGGACUUUCAAAUACUUACGUGACAGAGUUGGGGAAAAGCUGAGAGGAUAGAUGGCACUCUUGUCAACUUCAGGUAAAGAGGUUCUGAUUAAGUCUGUGGCAUAGGCAAUUCCGGCAUAUUCCAUGGCCUGCUUCCGUUUCCGCAAUGACGUUGCGCGAGUGUCACGACUUUAAUCAGACAAUUUUGGUAGGGAAGUAAACAGGGGAGAAGGUAGCCAUGCCGGGUCUCAUGGGAUGUUAUGAUAAGACCAAGUAUUUUGGAUGCCUCGGUUCCCUACUUGCCAGGCAAGCCUGGCGCUUGCUAGACAAUCCCGGUUCUCCAAGUUCCAUUAAUCUUAAAAGUUGUAAACUAUCCAAAUAACUCUCUUUCUGAUGCAACCUUGGGACCACAUCCAUCACAUAUAUCACCGGCUAUUUUGCAUGGGAAAGACAUAAUGACUUAGGGUUUCAUAAGGAGAAUAGGAGACGGAGAAUCCCCUGAUAUUUGGAACGACAACUCGAUAACUAGAGAGCAUAUAAAGAGGCCGAGAACUUCACAAAUACCACAGCCGCCGACAAUCGUCGCUGAACACAUUGAUCACACUGUCUCAUCAAGGGAUGAACAACUUAUUCAAUCGAUACUAAUUCCCACUGAUGCCGAGACUAUAUUGCAGAUCCCACUUUGCACGAGACAAAUAUCUGGUUUAUGGGCUUGGAGUGAGGAUAGAAGGGGCAUGUUCACUGGGCAUUCCGCUUACAAGAUGAUACAGUGAACCAAGAUCAGUAGAGAAUCAUGGCUGUAUGAGCAGGGUGGCCGAUCAAACUCAGAGGCUGAUUGUCAAGGAUGGACUGACUUAUGGCAUAUAAAAUUCCCCUCAAAAAUCAAGGUGUUCAUGUAGAGAUUAGCACAAUACUCACAGUGUCCUUCUUCAUCAUAGAAACAAGUUGAUGACGAGUGCUUGUUGUUUGUGCGGGUCUAACGAUAUGUGCAGGCACGCCCUGCUGAAUUGCUUGGUUUCAAGGAGCACGUGGGCACUAUCAUACGAGCAAAUUGUCGAGCUAUUGAGUAUGAAUGUAAAUGAUGACGCCAAACAGUGGCUAUUCACCACACAUGAGGUGUUAUCGCAUGAGAAGGAUUUUAUCAUGUUUACGAUCACUUUUGUGGACGAUAUGGGGAGGUCGACACAAAGCUAUACAUGAGGAGAUAUAUAAAAGCCCUUUCACUUUCCAUGCUUUUGUGCAGAGUUACUUAACUGAGCUGAGAGCUACCCAAAGCACUCAAAGUCCAGUUCCAGGGGCAUCCGUGAUUAGGCCAAGUCAAUGUAUCGCUCCUCGGAAUAAGAUGGUGAAGGUCAAUGUGUAUGCGGCCGUUGGACCAGGCGGCACUCGAGGCGCAAUGAGAGCUAUAUGCAGAGAUCAAGCAUGUAAUUUUCUGGGUGUGUCGGCCAUUGUGUUCCCACAUAUAUCAGAUCUUGUUACUGUCGAAUCUUCAGCAAUCAGGGUGGCACUUGCACUUGCUGAUAAUCUCUAUGAGAGGAAUAUUUAGGUGGCUUCGGAUUGCAAGGUGGCAUUGCAGAUAUACAUUAGAAGAGCUCAACUAUCUACAGAGCAAUCAUAACUAAGAUCAUAGAUCGGAAGGCUACUUUUACUAAUUGUACAUUAGCCAUGAAUUUAGGAUCUAGAAUGUUGAAGCUCACAAACUCGUGAAGCAUGCUUUAUCCCUAGGGGUUGACCGCCAUGUUUGGUUAGGUAACCCCAUAGCUAAAGUUUUCUCGCCUUGCUUCAAAACUACUGGGCGUGCGCUGCGGUUUUGACCUAACGGCCUCCGUUUGCUAGAAUUAAUUCGAAUAGUUGAGAAGAAAGUGACGAACGGAUGCGUAAUGCGUGGGAAUCUGCCAAAUAGUUCGGGCCGAAUCCUGAAGAAAGUUCAAAGCGCUGUCUGAUGAGCCUACGUAGUAUUAGUUAGUUGGUCAGGUAAAGGAUGGCAAGCCAAUGAUGCUUAGCUGGUGUUUUUGAAUGAUUAGCCACACUGGGACUGAGACCUGGCCUAGACUCCCAUGGGCGGCAGCAGAGGGGAAUCUUGGACAAUGGGCGAGAGCCCGAUCCAGCAAUAUCGCGUGAGUGAAGAAGGUCAAUGCUCUUUGUAAAGCUCUUACGGUGAGUGCGCGAUCAUGACAUAUCUCGAGGAACUGGGUAAGUACUCUUUGGAAUGACCGGGUAUAAAGGGCAUGUAGGCGGUUAAAAGUGAAACUGUGUAAAUCAUACAAAGUGGCGGAAUGCUCUCGAAACCAAUUCACUUAAGUGAGACAGAGGAGAGUGGAUGGUCUUCUAUUCGUCCCAAUAAACAUUGUGAGGGACCAAAGUUUUUUUUUUGAAAGGAAAAGAGACUAAAGUUGAAACAGACGCUCACUUCCAUGAACACGUGGACACACAACCGGUGGUUCCAUGCAUGCAUGCAUGAUGCAUCGCACGCAGUACGCACGCGGGCCGUUUCCAAGCUAGCUAAUGACGCAGUACAGCUAGUAGAGCACUCGCUGCCAAACGCCUACGUCAGAGACCCUCGUGAGCCCAGCUAUACAACCUCCUCUCCGCCUCCCGUCCUCGUGCACUCCGCAGCCGAAUUCCCCCGUCUCCACAGCUCAGUCCUCCGGACCGCCGGACCUAUCCUCGCCUUGCCAUGGCAGCCGCAGCACUGAGGGCGCAGCUGAACGCGCAUAUCGCCGGCAUGUACACCAAGGUGAGGCCCUUCCCUUCCCCUCCCUUCUAGUCGUGUGGUUGUUGAUUUUGGCCUGACUUGGCAUGGUCGACGUCCAUCCAGGGUGUGGUGGACGAGGACACGUUCGAGGAGCUGCGGGAGGAGGGCACCGCCGCCGAGGUCUCCCGCCUCUUCAUCAAUGACGCCCACGAGGUCAUCGACGAUAUCGACACCCUGAUGUCCGUACCGCCACCCUCUAUCUCUCCCUCUACUCUCGGUCUCUGGUACUGACUCAACUUGUCUGCUCUGGAAAUCGCAGGGAGCAGCCGGAAGUGGACUUUGACGAGGUGGAAGCUCUGACGCAGCAGCUAAUGCGGUGCACCUCUAGGUGAUGACCAUCAUAAACCCUUUCUCUGUCUUCUACCCGCUUAUUUUUAUCUCUGUGUUUGUUUGCCUGCUGCGUCAAUGUCAUGCGAUUCAGAUCUGUUUAUUGUACUGGGCAAAGGAUACUUAUAUGUCAGUUGCGCUGCCCCAUAGGCGUAAUUAGAAGAGUCGAGUUUAGUUGCGUUCAGUGUAACGGAGUUACCGGUAUCCCGAUGAAUAUCAAUGUUAUGAUGAGGAUAAACUGUUGUAGUUUGUCGAAUAUUCCUGGUAUUAAUGAUCUGCUAUUCUGUGUAUCAGUAAUAGUGGUUCUUCCUGGUAUUAAUGAUCUGCUAUUCUAUGUAUCACUAAUGGUGUUUUUUCUAGCUUGCCCACGGCAUUGAUGUCGUGCAAUUUAGAUCUGUUUAUUGUACUGGGCAAAGGAUUCUAUUUGUCACAAAAAAGAAUGUCGCUUGCACUGUCAUGUAGCCAUAAUUUGAAGAAUCGAGUUUAGUUGUGUUUCCUGUAGCCGAGUUACCGGUAUCCCAGUUAACGUCAGCAGCAUGAUGAGUAUAAAGUUGUCGUUUUUGUGAACAUUUUGGGUAUCAAUGAUAUACAGCUAUGCGUAUCACUAACGGUGAGUUUUCUUGUUUGUCCACGACAUCGAUGUUGUUUUUAUUCGGGUGUGUCGGUAUAGGGUGUGUACCUCAUGGGGCAUGACCGCUUAAGGUUCGUGUUGUUUGCGGCCGCCAUUGUAUUAGCCAUAGAUAGAAGAGCUGGGUUUAGUUAUAUAUCUCAUGUAAUGGAAUUGUUGGUACUCUUGCCAAUGGCAAUGGUAUAGCUUGGUGAGGGCAACUUUUGUCAUUUUCCGAAUGUUUCUUCUACAAUUGAAUCUUCUGUUUAGGCAAUGUCAUUAUUCUAGGUCGACAAUGAACAAAGUAUGGCUUGUAUUAAUGAUCUGCAGUUCUACAUAACGCUAAUGGUCAUUUUUUUUAUUUCUCCACCUGAAUGUUGUUGUUUCUAUUCAGAUGUGUCAGACGGCAGGUGUGUACGUCAUGGGCAUUAUUUGGCUGUUGUAUAGCCAAAAUUAGAAGACGUGAAUUUAGUUGUGUUUUCUGUAGCAGAAUUUUUGGUAUUCAUGACAAUGUUAUGGUCCGGCAAGAAAGACAUUGUCAUUUUGUAAAUAUUUCUGGUACUACUGGUCUGCUAUUUUACGUCACACCACUGGUGAUUUUUCAGGUUCAUCAAAUAAUAUGUCGAGUUGACAAUCAUGAUACGAAAUGUCUCCUUGAGGAUUUUAUUGAGUUGACGUCUCAGUUUCUAUUAAGUUCUUAAUUUCCUGAUCCGCAAUUUUUUUGCAUGUUUCAGUGUUGGUGCAGAGCAAGUGAACCUCGCCUGCAUGCACUUCGGCAAUUUCUAUGCCAUAAAAUAUAAAGAAGGGUCAGAACUCAAUAGCUUAUUACAUAUGUUACACAAUAAUUAUUGGCAGCAUUAUUUUCCAAUGUCUCUAUUUAAACCUGCCAGCUCAUGUUGUCUUUUAGGUCGUUAUUUACAGCUCAUACCAAUCUAACAUUAUUAAGACGUAACCAUGCUUUGCUUUUUCACUUCAUCUGCAUUCACAUUGUUGAUAUUACUCGGGUCAUUAUCUGAAUAUUCUAAUCUUUGAUGAUUCUUUUGUAAUUUAUUUGCUCUAGACUUCUGUUUACAGCACAACUAAAUUCUUAUAUAGCUAGAGAUUUUUCUUUUUUGAAAUAUGGGGCAUUUCAUCUCAGUUCUGUUAACCUCUUCAGAAUUUGACCGUGUGAUAUUUUUUGCAUUAUUUCAGGUGCCUCGUGUCCUUGGCUCUUGUUAGGAAUGAGUUCUUUAUUGUGCGACAUGAGUUGGAGGUCAUGAUCGAGGUAGCACCUUAUGUGCCUAAUGUUGGAUUUGAUACCAACUUCUCACUAGUUUCAUAACCCACUGUUUUUUCAUAUUAAGAUAGAGAAAAGGGAACAAUCUUAAAUCGUUAAUCUUAUUCUUUUGAUGUUUGGUUUUGGAGCACUUAGUUGGAGGUACUGGAAAGUCUCAUUUUGCCGUUGAAUGAUUAUCCUGUAAUUUUGUCAUCACGUUUGGUAGAUGUACAUGGUAGCUCUAAAAAAGUGGCAGAACUUCUUGUUUCCCAGCUUAAAUUAAGCUUCGCGAAAUGCAAAAAUAAGAAACUUUCCAUGUGACUUGAGCACCAUUAUGUGCCAUAGACUUACCUUAAUCAUUUUUCGGAAGGUACUUGUCUUACUAACUGACCUAUUAUUCAUCUUUUGAUGCAGCUCGAAGAGCAGAUUGCGGCAUGUGGUCCUAACUCCUAAGUAGCGGCAAGUGAAGGGGGAAGAGCAUGGCCCCAUGCAAUCCUUGCAUUGUGGUGUCCAUGUGUCUCUGAUGAUGUGGCACUUUUUCGAAGCUUGUCUGGCACUAGGCGGUGUGUGUGUGUAAAACUUAAAUGAAUAUUCUCGCGUCGGAACUUUGGGCUCGUAAUCCUGUGAACUAAAAUUGUUGUCCUGUGUUGGUGUCUGUUUCUCUAGUGCAUAUUCAUUUUUCUAAGAGGAAUCAAGUCCAUAUUCUAGUGUGUCGUGGAUGUGUUGCUGCCCCGCCUACAGGCUGUGUGUAGAACCUAUACCUGGUUGGUUGGUCCUCUAUUGACUAUGUUUUGCUGUAUGUUGUGUUCGUUUUUCUCUAUAAGCAUGUCUUGUUGUUGGUUGUUGUACCGAGAGUGUAGCAAAUCGCCAUAUUUCGACAUGUUAAGCAUGUCUUUUCGGUCUGAAAUAUUAAGCAUGACCCUCUUAUAAGAGUACCGCGGCACCACGAGGAGUAGCCGGAGGAGGGGCAAAACAGAUGGGAUAGUCUGCGGGGCCACAUCCAGGGACCACAAAGCCGUCGAUUCAUGGGGCGGCGUGAAGAGCAUCUCUGGCUUAGGUAUGUUUGCGUUGGUACAAAAAGUCUGGGCUAAUUAAAUCGCCAAUUAUAGCUCCAACAAUGAUUGAUGGAACAACAUACUACUCCUAGGCCACAAUUUAUUUAGACUACCCUGAAUCACGAACAAUGCAUUGCGAUUGUUGUUACUGCUCCUGGCAGUGGUGGUUCAGACCUGGUAGAUCCCGGGGACAGGUUGUUUGAUUGGAGUCACAUCGGAUUAUCUCUAUCAAGCGCAAUAGUAGCAAUACCUGGGCAUAGCUGUAGUAUGUAAAAUGCUUGUAGAAUUUGGAAUCAAAAGGUAUCAUCAUCAUUGAGUGGCCUCUGAACAUAGUUUAGUUAUUGUUACCCUUUUCACUAAAGUUAAAUACAUGGUUUUCUGUGAGAACUCAAUUUUUGCACUUCUAGAUUAUCUACCUUUUUGGGCCAGUUACUGUUAUACAUAAAAUUCUGGCCAGGUAGAGAUCAUUUUCAUGAUAUAUGAGUUUUCACUCUGUCUUCCUACUCAUUGGUGAAACGUGUCAUUGGGUGACCUUAUUUAGGGAAGCAUAAAAGAAUUGUUUUUUUCUCUGUAUUAUUGCAUCUUAUCGUAGCAUUUGUUCCUCUGUAAAUAAAUAUAAGAUGUUAUAUUUGUUUACAGUGGGAGUAGAACAUUUUUUUACAAUAUCUUUUAUCAGCCAUAUUGCAAGUGUCAUGCUUCCAUAAUUAAAGUUGAAUAUUUCAUCUUAGUCCGCCUAAUUUGCAAUGGUUGUUUUACACUUACCACAGGAAAGAUGUUUUCUUUUAAUCAUAUUGUCUUUAGCUGGUCCUCAUCUCAUAUCACAUCGCAGUUGUCCCUCCUACAUUUGUUCAUCACAGAUACUACAAUAGCACAACGGUGGCGGGUACAGGCGCAGUGUGUCGAUCUGUGGGCACACCGGCUCGAGGACGAGCAGGGGCUUGAGAGUUGGGGCCGGCAGCCCAGCAGUGAACAGGGAUGGCGGUGUUUGGAAGUGGGCUGCGGUGGGUAGGGAACAAGAUGUCCCGUCGCCGUCCGCUUCGUUUAGCUCAACAUGAUGGCCGUUCAUCUGAAAACAAGGUUGGGAAGACAAAAUUAUCUGAGGGCGAUCCAGAUUAGCAUGGAUGCUUCUGCGAUUUGAUUUUUGUAGAUGAAAUAAAUUUUGUAUAUUUUGUAUACCAAUCUUCUAUUUGUAGUUUGUAAAUAACAUGAAUCCAGUUCUUAGGAAUAAAGAAGUGCCACCACAGUGGAGAAAGACAGUUCACUCACUAAUGUGGUGAUGUCAAACAUUUGAACUGCAUAUGGAGGAUCUUCCAUCGCAAAUAGCAAUGUUUUAUAGGGACUUACUUUAAUCGGUCAUGAAAAUAUCUGCAGUUCUGAUCUAGAAUUGGCAUAACUGAAUGUCCAAAACCAGAUAAAUGCAUUGCUUGAAGAUUUAAUAACAAACACAAUGGCGUAUCAGUUGCAUAUGGCCAACAAUGGACAUCAUAUUUUUGUUUCGUGGUAAUGGAUGAUAUUCAACUGUAUGUUAUUCCCUCCAUCCCAAAAUUCUUGUCUUAGAUUAGUCUAGAUACAGAUGUAUCUAAUACUAAAAUGUGACUUGAUACAUCCAUAUUUAGACAAAUAUAAGACAAGAAUUUUAGGACGGAGGAAGUACAGCGUGGCAAUGAUAUAGGAGACAACGGAUUUGCCUUCUUGUCUGGGAGCCAACACACCUCGUUCCCAUGAUGGCGGUGGCAGAUUGGCACGAACACGUGUGGUGGGAUCAUGGCAAAGAGCAGGCCAGACGACUCCUCGUUAACGAUUCGUGGGGAAGUACUGUCUGAAGGAGAGAGGGCGCCAUGGCGAAGAUGAGGUGGGUGUCAUUCGGUUAUAAAGGAGGGCUUUAGCGACAAAUGUCCCAAUACAGCGGGAAACUGAGCGAGAAGGGGUGGGUCCUGCAGGAAAAAACGAAGGGUGCACUGUGGGCCAGGAUUUUUGUAUCCGGACCGCGUAUGAACAUAAUAUGGCGGAUAGUUUGGACAAUCAUAUUUCUCCUUCACAUAUGGGUUGGAUUUGGGGGAGGCCGGAUUAUCACGGUUGAAUUUUGGAGAGUCCGUUGGGCGCCUGUUAGAUAUCCGAAUACGCCCGGACGUAUGAUGAAGAAAUAAGGUUCGACCUUAAAGACGGUCUUAAUUAUUUAUUUAUGUGCAUUCUAUCCCGUAGCAACGCUUAGGCAUUCACUAGUAAAAGAAGUUUUACAGUGUAAAAGAAAGCUAGCAGACUGAGUUGUUCGUUCUGCAAUGCACGGACUGGCCCAUUUUGGGAGCGGCAUCGGUGUGCAGAGCCCAUACCCCAAUCUUGUUUGGACGGCCGUCUCGAGUCGACCAGUAACCGACGCUCGCUUCCGUAGACACACACACAACCGGUGGCUCCAUGCAUGCAUGCAUCGCACGCAGUACAGCUAAUACAGCACUCGCUGCCAGCCAAACGCCUACGUGAGAGACCCUCAUGAGCCCAGCUAUACAAACCUCCGCUCCUCCUCCCGUCCUCGUUCACUCCGCAUCCGCAGCCGAAUUCCCCCCGUCUCCACCGCUCAGCCCCCCGGACUGCCGGACCUCGCCUCGCCUUGCCAUGGCAGCCGCAGCACUGAGAGCCCGGCUCAACGCCCACAUCUCCAGAAUGUAUGCCCAGGUGAGCCCACUCCCCUCCUCCCCAGUCGUGUGGUUCUGGGUUUUGGCUUGGCUGGCCUCCGGCUGACUUGGCCCUUGCCUUUGCCUUGGCGUGCGUGGUCGCUGACUCGCUGUCGAUCCAGGGCGUGGUGGAGGAGGAGACCUUCGAGCAACUGCGGGAGGACGGCACCGCCAGCGAGGUCGCCCGCCUCUUCAUCAACGACGCCUACGAGAUCCUCCACGACAUCGACAUCCGGAUGUCCGCCCUCAUGCCCACUAUCUCUCCCUCUACUCUCUGUCGGUACUGACUCACCUUGUUUGCUCUUGAAUUUGCAGGGAGGAGCCGGAAGUGGACAUUGACGAGGUGGAAGCCCUGACGCAACAGCUCAUGGAGUGCGCCUCCAGGUGAUCGAUGACCAGCAACAAUACAUUAAUUCUCUUCCACCAGCUUAUUUUUCACUGUAUAAUUAAUGCGUGUUGGCCCGUGAUUCAGAUCUAUUUGUACUGGGCAAUAAUGGAUUCUAUUCGUAAAAGAAAAUCGUCGCUUGAACUGUGGUGUAGCCAUAGUUAAUCAGAAGAAUCGAGUUUAGUCAAGUUUCCUGUUACAGAGUAUCGGUAUCCCGAUAAAUCUUAAUUUUAUGGUGAUGAUAAAGUGUUGUCGUUUUGCGAAUAUGUCUGGUAUUAAUCAUCUUCUAUCCUGUGCAUCACUAAUAGUGGUUUUUCUUGUUUGUCCACGACACCGAUGUUGUUUUUAUUCGGGUGUGUCGGCACAGGGUGUGCACCUCAUGGGGCACGACCGCACGGGGUUCGUGUUGUUUGCGGCGGACGUCGUAUAGCCAUAGAUAGAAGAGUUGAGUUUAAUCGUAUAUCUCAUGUACCGGAAUCGUUGGUACUCCUGCCGAUCGCAAUGGUAUAGCUUGGCGUGGGGAGCUUUUGUCGCGCAGUGCUAUUAUUCUAGGUCGACCAUGUAAAAAAUUGUCGUUUUAUAAGCAUGGCUGGUAUUAAUGAUCUGCUAUUCUACGUAUACCCAAUGGCCAUUUUUUCUGUUUCGUCAUUGGAACAAUGUUGUUUCAAUUCAGGUGUGUCAGCAGCAGGGUGUUGUGUAUAUAUCUCAUGGGCGUCAUUUGAAUGUCGUGUAUCCAAAAUUAGAAGACCUGAAUUUGGUUGUGUUUCAUGUAACGGAAUUGUCGGUAUUCAUGACAAUGUCAUGGUCAGGCAAGAAAUACUUUUUCGUCUUGUGUACAUGCUGGUAGUACUGCUACUACAUAUAACGACAAUGGUGUUUUUCUGGUUCAUCAAACAGUUUAUUGAGUUGACAAUCGUGAUAGGAAAUGGUUCCUUGCGAAUAUUAUUAAUUAUGAUGUCCCAAAUAUGCUUAUGUGUAUCAACAUGCCUCACUGUUUAAUAAGUUUCUAAUUUUCUGAUCAGCGUGUGUUCUGCAUGUUUCAGUGUUGGUGCACAGCAAGUGAAACUCGCCUGCAUGCAUUUCGGCGAUUUCUAUGCAAUAAAAUGCAAACAAGGGUCAGAAAUCGAUUUAUUUUUAGAUAUGUUCCCCAAUAAUUAUUUCUUAGCAAUAUUUUACAAUUUCUCAAUGUAAAGUCACUGUAUUCAGCUCAUACCAAUCUAACAUCAUAUAUAAGUAACCUGCUUUGCUUUCUCGCUUCAUCUGCAAUCAUGUUGAUAUUACUCGGUUCAUUAUCUGAAUAUGCUAUUUUUUUAUGAUUCUCUUGUAAUUUGUUGGCCCUUGUCUUCUGUUUAUAACACAACUAAAUUUCAAUAUGGCCAGUGUCUUUCUUAAAUUGAGGGUUAGAAUUUCAGAACCAUUUCAAGUCAGUUCUGUUAACUUCUCUAGAAUUUGACUGUGUGAUUUUUUGCAUUAUUUCAGGUGCCUUGUGUCAUUGGAUCUUGUUAGGAAUUUGUACUGUAUUGUGCGCAAUGAUGUGGAGAUCAUGAUGCAGGUAGGACCUUAUGUGCCUAAUGUUGUAUUUUGAUACCAACUUCUCUAGUUUCAUAAUCAAUAGAUUGGUCAUGUAUAGUUUAAGAUUGAGAAAAAACAACAACCUUAAAUACAUAAUCUUAUUCUAUCGAUGUUUGGUUUUGGAGUACUUUGUUUGAGGUCUCUGAAAGUUUCAUCUAGCCGUUGAGUGUUUAGGUCGUAAUUCUGUCACCACAUUUGGUAGAUAUGUGUGGCAGCUCUUAAAAAGCAGUAGAACUUCUUUGUUUCCCCGCUUAAAAUCUUUGGCAAAUACCAAAUAAGAAACCGACCAGUUUGUAACAUGGCUGAUUAGUGAAAUGAUGGGACUUGAGCACCAUUAAUUGCAAUAGACUUGUCACAAUCAUAUUUGGGAAGGUACAUAUGUUAAUCAUUGGCCUAUUAUUCAUCUUUUGACGCAGCUGGAGGAUAUGAUCGCGGCCUGUGGUCCUAAGUAAUGACAAGUGAAGGGGAAAGAUCGUGAUCCCAUGUGAUCCCUUACAUUAUGGUGCGUAUGUGUCUCUGAAGAUGUGGCGGUGUUCAAAGGGUGUCUGGCAUUAGAGGGCGUGAAACCAGACGAGGAUUUUCGCGGCGGAACUUUGGUCUCAUAGCCCUGUAAACGAAACUUGUUGUCCUUUGUCGAUGUUUCUUCGUGAAGUCUAUAUACUUAUGUGUCGUGGAUGUGCUGCUGACCUGCCCACGGGCUGUGUGUAAACCCCAUCCUGGUUGGUUGGUUGCCAGUGACUUUCUUUUGUUGUAUGUUGCGUUGGCUUCUCUCUCUAAGCAAGUCGUGUUGUUGGCUAGUGUACCAAGAGUGCUGCAAAUCUCCAUACUUGGAUAUUUUAAGCAUCUCUUUUCGGUCUGUAAUCUUCAGCGUGAAUUGCUUAUAAGAGUAUCGUGGGCGCAACAUGAGGAGGGGCAAAGUAGAGGUGAUAGUUUUGCCGGGCUACAUGCAGGCAUCACGAAGCCGGCGAUCCGUGGGUUGGCACAAAACCAGAUUCCUGUACUGAAACUUAUAUCGAUCAGAAGUGAAAAACACAGAAGAACUACAAACUGAAUUUUCUUAAACUCUUAUAAAAUGAAGUAUAUAGCGGACUAUUUCAAAUAGUCAGCUCUCCACUUCUGGAAGUUUUUAUUCUACAUAAGUAUAGUAAAGUAUUGUUUAAGAAAAGAAAUACUCAGCUGAAGGAAAGACUAUGACAGUAGAGACGGCUCUACAGACAUCAGCUUCCAAAUACCACUUGGCAUUGGAAGGGAAAUAAGGCACUUUUGAAGAGCCCUGCAGAACUUUCAUAAAUGAUAACCCCUUAGUUACAAUUAAAUUACAAGCAUCACAAUAAGAAAACCACGAAGAAAAUACAAAGUGUGAUUUCAUACACAUCUUAGCAACUAACCACUAAGUAUGUGCAAAAUAUAUAGGUGUGUAAGCCAACAUCAUUUUUUUCUUCUCUUGGUUAAUGGUUUACCAAAACCAGGUCUAGCUCCAUGACCGGGCGUGAAGCGAUCAACGGCGUGUGUCGGCGGGGAAGAUGGCUUAUGACGCCUAAACAAAAGAGAAAAUGUCCCGGCGGUCAUCGCCAGGGGAGUCGACCGUCGCCGCGGGCGUUUGUUCGCCUGGUACAAUCGUCUCUUCGUAUUCUUGUGAUCGUUCGUCAAUCCUCGUGUCCAAAAAUUGGUAACGGACAAGAAAAGUGUUGUGUGUCACCGGAGACAAGGAAGACGGCAUUGUGUCGCCGCAGACGAAGAAGAAAGAUGGUCUUGUUCGCGCCGAGAUAAGGCAUGCAGCGGUGUUCGCUUCAAGGACGCCGUAGCGGCGACCAUGGUGAUGAAAACGACGGGAGCUGCAACAACUCCGACAACGAAAACAACGGGAGCUGCAACAAUUCCAACGACGGCAAGCCGGGAUUCGGGGAACAUUGUUGGGAAUAAUCUUGCCCUGGAUGCGUUCCAGGUGUGUUUGUGCGUCGCGUGAGUCUAUUAGAGCAUCUCCGGCCGCACCCCCAACAGGCUCCCCAGGGCGACUCCGGCGUCGAAAAAAAGCCCCAGUCGUGCCCCCAAGACGUCGAAACCCGCCGGCUCGGCCCGUUUUUGAGCCCAGCGAUCCCAGGACGAACCCAACACGCUGGGGGCGCUCGGGGGCUCCGGCGAAAGGGAAAAACACGCCUGGGCCAAACUGUCAGGCGAAAAGUCAAGGAAAUCGUCCAGAUUCGCCCACCUCCCCCACCCUCGCGCGCUCGGCCACCACCCUUGCCGACCCCGGCGCCGGCCACCGCCCAGCACCGGUAGGUAGGCCAUUCCCCGCCGAAAAGGAGAGAAGGUUUCGCCACGGCAACCUCUUCACCACCUUCCGGGCAAGUUGUCCGGUGCCCCGGCCACGCAGGGCGGCAUACCGACGGCUGUGCACCUAUGACGCCCGCCAGGUGUUCGGCAAUUUGUCUGCCCGGCCCGGUGAUGGACUUGAACGACGAGGAGGCGCUCUCGGCGCUGCUGGAGGAGGAAGCCGAAGCUGACGUCCAGGAGGAGGAGCAUCUCAUGGUCCUCGCUGCCCUCGCCAGCCUGCUCAUGAGCAAUGAAAAGCCGCGGCGAGGUGGCUUGGCGCCGGGGCGGCUGAAAGCAAAGGACUGGCAUCGUCUAGAAGGCUACGACAUGCUCUACUCCGACUACUUCACCGACGCUCCAUUGCACGGCAAGAAAACAUUUCGGCGCCGUUAUCGGAUGAGCCGAAAGCUUUUCCUCAGGAUUGUGAAUUCCAUCCGGGAGUUCGACAACUGCUUCAAGUGCAAGAAGGAUUGCACCGGCACACUUGGAUUCACCUCAAUCCAGAAGUGCACGACAGCUGUGAGGAUGCUUGCAUAUGGAGCUCCUAUUGAUUCACUCGACGACUAUGGGCGCAUGGACAAGUCCACGACUAUUGAGUGUUUCUACAAGUUCUGCAGGGCAGUGGUGGUAGUGUUUGGACUGCAAUACUUGCGAUCACCCAAUACUGAAGACACUGCUCGGAUCCUAGCACAGAAUGCAGCAAGAUGAUUUCUUGGGAUGCUUGGAAGCAUCGACUGCAUGCAUGGAAAAUGGAAGAACUGUCCAUUUGCUUGGCAGGGGAUGUACAAAGGCGCCAAAGGCGGUUGCAGUGUGGUACUUGAGGAAGUGGCCACAUAGGACCUCUGGAUUUGGCACUCUUUCUUUGGGAUGCCAGGAACUCACAAUGACAUCAACGUCCUGCAGUGCUCCCCUGUCUUUGUCAAGCUUGUUGAAGGUCAUUCUCCUCUGGUGAACUUUGGGGUCAAUGGGCGGCACUACAACAAGGGGUACUACCUAGCUGAUGGCAUCUAUCCGAGAUGGUCUACAUUUGUGAAGACUAUCUCAAACCAUGUGCCUGGAGGCAAGAACUCCCACUUGGCGAAGGUUCAGGAGGCUUGCAGGAAGGACGUCGAGCGGGCAUUUGGUGUGCUCCAAUCUCGAUUUGCUGUUGUCCGUACCCUGCUCAGACCUGGUCGAAAGAUCAAAUGUGGGAGAUCAUGACUUGUUGUGUCAUCUUGCACAAUAUGAUCACUGAGAGCAAGCAGGAAGAGUCAGUGUUUGACACUGAACCAUAUGACAGGCAGGGUCCUCGGACAUCCGGACUAUAUACUUUGGCCGGACUGUUGGACUAUGAAGAUACAAGAUAGAAGACUUUGUCCCGUGUCCGGGUGGGACUCUCCUUUGUGUGGAAGGCAAGCUUGGCGAUUCGGAUAUGUAGAUUCCCUUCUCUGUAAUUGACCUGAUGUAACCCUAACCCCCUCCGGUGUCUAUAUAAACCGGAGGAUUUAGUCCAUAGGACAAGAACAACAGUCAUAAUCAUAGGCUAGCUUCUAGGGUUAGCCUCAUCGAUCUCAUGGUAGAUCAACUCUUGUAAUACUCAUAUUAUCAAGAUCAAUCAAGUAGGAAGUAGGGUAUUACCUCCAUAGAAAGGGCCCGAACCUGUGUAAACAUCAUGUCCCCCGCCUCCUGUUACCAUUAGCCUUAGAUGCACAGUUCAGGACACCCUACCCAAGAUCCGCCGGUUUUGACACCGACAUUGGUGCUUUCAUUGAGAGUUCCACUAUGACGUCGAAGAUAAGGUUGAUGGCUCGCCUUGUUAUCAAGGACAACAUCAUCUCCGGGGAAGCCUUGGCCUCGGGCCAAACCCUCCAUCUGGGCGGUUUCGUCAUGACCGCUCGCUCGGCCGUUGAGCCCAUGAUGACCUCUCGGGUCAUCGAAAAUCAUGUCCGCUUCAGCUCAGAACUUGCCGAGCAGAUGGAUCCGACGGAGCUAUCGUCUUUGAACGAGCUCUUAGAUUGCAUCGCCACCCUGGGAGUCACUACGGACUACGACCAGAUUGGGCUUAAACCCGAUCAGAGGGAAAUUAAUUCCCCUCUGGUCACCCAUCAGAUAGCGGUGGUGGAGGACCAAAGGGAUAACUCUCGUCCCAUACAGAGGAUGGACCAUGUCCGGAUUACCGAGCUCACCGAGCCGGAUACCCGUUCGUGGGAAGACGUGCCCCAAAUCCUCGACUUAGAACCGGACUGUGGGUCCGAAAAGUUGGGUAACAUCCCGGAAGCCGGAUUGUUAAAUUCGGAAGCCCUUCAAGCUCUGGAUUUCAGACCGGGUCAGGAUUCGGAUUUAAAUCCGCCCACCCGCCCAGAUACAAGCGAUCUUUCCCAUAUCAAACAACAACCCCAAGAGACAGUACAUCACUUUUGGGCUAGGUUCCUCCUUGUAAUGAACAAGGUUAAGGACUGUCGGGAGGAAGACGCAAUCUCGUUCUUUUGCGGAAAUUGCACGGACAAGGGAAUUAUUAAUGCUAUAAAACACCGUCACAUAUCACACUUCGCUGACUUGGCGGCCAUAGUACAGAAGUACUACGCAAUGGAAAGCCCCUGGAAAACCUAGGCGGCCUUUUGGGACCCACUGGCUCUCACUAAACCCCUCAUCCGAACAAAAAGGGUGUACCCUCAUUGGCAACCCGAUCCAAUCAUGAAGAAGUCGAAGCCCAUUACAGGGCGCGGAACUGUAUUGGAGGGAUGGCUCAAUAGGCCAUGCAAAAUUCACACCACACCGGAUACUGUACCAACACAUAGCCUUAGAGCAUGUUGGAUACUUCGGCAGGUGGCCAAGAGCGGCGAGGAUCUCCUCAUCAAUAGUCCCGCAGAGCACCAUUCCGCAGAAAACAACAAUACAGUGUUGACAAUCUUUGAGACUUUUGCCUCGAAUAACAGGCGUAAGCGAACACUCCGCAGCAUUGCCGAAGUCUGUCAAAUUGCAGAAAUAAACCCUUGGAAUGACACGACCAUAACUUUUAACGCUAGUGAUGAACCGCAAUUCAGAACAGUCCGGGCACCAGCCGCUUUAGUCCUUAGUCUAAUUGUGGACGGCUUCCGGCUUACCAAAGUGCUCAUGGACGGCGGUAGCGGAUUAAACCUCAUUUACGAGGAAACCCUCAACAAAAUAGAAAUAGACAAGAGCCGCAUUGAGCAAAGCAGCACUACCUUCCGAGGAAUCAUUCCCGGACGGGUGGCACGAUGUGCGGGAAAAAUCACACUAGAUGUGGUAUUCGGCAUGCCGGAUAAUUACAGGUCCGAAGAAAUAAUAUUCCAAGUGGUCCCCUUCAGCAGUGGAUACCAUGCCCUCUUGGGGCGAGACGCAUUCGCGAGCUUCCAAGCUAUACCCCAUUAUGGGUACAUGAAGCUCAAGAUGCCCGGACCCAAUGGAAUCAUCACCCUUGCCAGUUAUUCGGACAUAGCACUCCGCGCCGAAAACAAAACCGCCGCCCUGGCCCUCGAGGCAUUGCCCAAAGCCCUCGCGGCCGAAGAACUAACUGCGUUACGCUCCAAAGUGGACAGGGAUGACGUGAUACUCAAUAAACGAUCCAAGUCCACCUCCUUUAAACUAGCGGACGAAAUAGUCAAAUUCCAGGUCCAUCCAACGGACUCCACAAAGACAGCAUCCAUCGGGGCAUAGCUGGACCCCACAAUCGCCGCCACAUUGCGAACAUUCCUACGCAAGAAUUGGGACAUCUUCUUCUGGCAUCUCUCAGACAUGCCAGGAAUCCCAUGUAGGCUGGCCGAGCAUAGCCUCAACAUAUUGAUGGGAUAUAAACCGGUCAAACAGGCACUCAGACGCUUUUCUAAACCCAAACGACAAGCCAUGGGAGAGGAGCUGGCCAAGCUACUUGAAGCCGGAUUCAUCAGAGAAAUUAAACACCCGGAUUGGCUAGCCAACCUGGUGAUGGUACCAAAGAAGGACAAAUCCUGGCGCCUGUGUGUUGAUUUUAAAGACCUCAACAAGGCCUUCCCGAAGGAUCCCUUCCCUCUCCCCUGCAUUGAUCAGAUCAUUGACGCUACCGCAGGACACGACUCACUGUGUUUCCUCGAUGCAUACUCCGGAUACCAUCAAAUCAAGAUGGCGGAGUCGGAUCAAGCCGCAACGGCCUUCAUCACUCCAUACGGCCCUUUUUCCUUCAACACUAUGCCUUUCGGGCUUAAAAACGCCGGGGCAACCUACCAACACAUGAUUCAAACAUGCCUAGAGAAACAAAUCGGCAAAAUAGUUGAAGCAUAUGUGGACAACGUGGCCAUUAAGACCAGACACGUCGAGUCUUCAAUAGACAAUCUGAGGCUCACAUUCGACAACCUCCGAACAUACGACAUCAAGCUCAAUCCGGAAAAAUGUGUUUUCGGCGUCCCCGCCAGAAAGUUGUUAGGUUUCAUCGUUUCCCAUAGAGGAAUUGAAGAAAACCACGCCAAAAUCCGAGCUUUGUCAGAGUUGGCUACACCAACAGAUCUUAAACAAAUCCAGAAACUAACUGGAUGCGUGGCAGCCUUAAGCCGCUUUAUAUCCAGAUUGGGAGAAAAGGCACUGCCCCUCUAUUGCCUUCUUCGACGCACCGAACACUUCGAGUGGACGGACACAGCGACGGCCGGACUGGAAGAAAUAAAAACUCUAUUAUCGAACAAUCCAAUCCUGGCUGCACCAAGCGUAGGUGAACCCAUGUUACUAUACAUAGCCGCAACACAGCAAGUUGUGAGCGCAGCGCUCGUCGUCGAACGAGAGGAGACGGACACAAGUUCCCGCUUCAAAAGCCGGUAUACUACGUAUCCAUUGUCCUCACACCAUACAAAUCUUGGUAACCCCAUGAUCAAUAAAUAGCAUACGCGGUCUUCAUGGCAUCCCCAAAACUACGGCACUACUUUCAAGAGUGUUAAAUCACGGUGGCCUCUGAAGUCCCACUCAAUGACAUAAUAAACAACCGCGAUGCAACUGGUCGGAUUGCUAAGUGGGGCAUCGAGCUCCUCCCAUUCCACAUCACAUAUAAACCAUGGUAGGCCAUUAAAUCACAAGUACUGGCCGAGUUUGUCACCGAAUGGACAGAGGCCGAACUCCCUAAAGAGUACGGUGCAUACUCAAAUUGGAUCAUGCACUUCGACGGCUCUAAAAUGCUUACAGGUCUGGGAGUAGGUGUUGUCCUAACAUCCCACACCGGAAAUACUGUCCAAUACGUGCUCCAAAUAUUAUAUACAGACUCCAACAAUGCAGCCGAAUACGAGGCUCUGUUGCAUGGUCUUCGGAUGGCCGUCUCCAUGGGCAUCAAACGCCUGGAAGUGCGUGGGGAUUCAAACCUCACAAUAUCUCAAAUAAAUGGAGACUUCCAUGCCAAAGAUCUGAAAAUCGCGGCUUAUCGAAAUGUCGUCCUCAAAAUGUCAGCCCGAUUCGAGGGGCUCAAAUUCCAUCAUGUGGUUCGAGAAAACAAUCAAGCAGCGGAUGUUCUCGCCCGCAUUGGCGCCAAGCGCGACCUAGUCCCACCUAACAUCUUUCUGGAAAGGCUUUUUAAGCCAUCCCUGGUGUGGCAAGGGGAGACCGGCCAUACUAGCCCGGAUCCUAACACAACCCCAGAUACCGAAGACACUCACAUAGUCGAGGGCUCCGCCACCGAAAUAACACCCUCGACCCAUCUAAUUAUGGCUGUCAUCGCCCCAUGGACCGAGCCCUUCUUAGCCUACUUUAAUAGGCAAGAACUCCUCGAGGACUGAAACGAGGCACGCUGCAUAGUUCGGUGCUCUAAAGCCUAUAAAGUCCAUGAGGGAGAACUCUAUAAGAGAAGCGCUACCAGAGUUCUUCAAAGAUGUAUCUCCGAAGAGGAAGGGCGACAGCUCUUGGCGGAAAUUCAUGCCGGACUCGGCGGUCACCACGCCGCAGCUCCGGCCCUUGUAAGCAAGGCCUUCCGUAUAUGUUUUAAUUGGCCAACAUCCCGGGCAGACGCACAGGACCUCGUCCAACAUUGCGUCGGAUGUCAGCUUUUCGCCAACCAGAGCCAUAUGCCGCCUACCGCUCUUCAAAAAAUCCCCAUAACUUGGCCUUUUGCUGUCUGGAGGCUGGAUAUGGUCGGACCUCUUAAAGGGGGAAGCCAUAAGAAAAAAUAUUUGUUGGUCAUGGUGGAUAAAUUCACCAAAUGAAUAGAAGCCAAACCCGUUAAAACGGCCAAAUCCGGACCAGUGAUAGACUUUAUAUCGGGUGUCGUACACCGUUAUGGUGUCCCCCACAGCAUCAUCACUGAUAAUGGCUCCAAUUUUAAAGUCGAUGAGGUGAAAACUUGGUGCGCCAACUUGGGCAUUAAGCUCGAUUACGCCUCUGUCUAUCACCAUCAAACAAACGGUCAACUCGAAUGCACCAACGGUCUUAUUAUGAGUGGCAUUAAACCCAGACUAGUGCGAUCCUUAAAAGAAUUAGACAUGCACUGGGUCGAGGAGCUCGACUCCAUACUCUAGGGCUACGGACCAUGCCAAACUGCACUAUCGGAUAUACACCCUUCUUCGUGAUGUACGACGCAGAGGCUGUAUUGCCCUGCGAUAUUAUUCAUGACUCACCUCGAGUGCGCAUGUACGAAGAGAGAGAGGCCGAGUUGGAUCGGAGGGACAAUUUAGAUGCCUUCUAGGAGGAGCGCGAUGUCGCAAAAGCACGUUCCACAUUCUAUCAACAACAGGCUCGCAGGUAUCAAAGCAGAGAAGUACGGGCCAAAACUUAUAAUAUUGGCGAACUAGUACUACGCCUACCGGAGAAGAAAAAGGACAAGCUCAAGCCCAAAUGAGAGGGUCCCUUCAUCAUUGAUAAAGUUCUCACUGGAAGAGCGUACCGCCAGCAUGACGUAGCAGAUAACCGACUCGAGCCAAACCCAUGGAACGCGGCCAGACUCCGACGAUUCUACACCUAGCGCUGAACUCUUUGUUCAUCUCCUUUCCUCUGUUCUUUUUUACUUACUUUUAAUUCGUAUACUCUCCCUUCUAUUUUUUAGCCCUAAAGCUAUAGUGUGACUCAAUUACACACUCGUGAUGCACCAACUUUAAAAUAUGUGCGCUCGUUAUACCUGGGGCUUCUUGUACAGAAGCUUAAUAUAAUUACAUUCUGGGCUUCACGCUCAUUGCAUAUGUGUCUUUCUUCCGUAUGCACCUUUUAUUCGCCAUUAUAUGCAUCGAUAUGACUUAAGUUAUGGCCAAGCUAGGUUGCCUGGCUCUUGUGUUUAUGCCCUACGUUCCCGUUAAUUCGGCUAGGGCAUAAGGGGAGCACCUCUGCGAUUGUUACUGUUGGGUCCUCCGAAUGUGUACCUCAGACUGAGUGAAGCCGAAAGCUAGCGGUCUUAAGGGAAUAUUCGACCAAUGAACUAAAGAUGUCUUUUACCUUUCAUAAUACAACCCCCCAGAUGUUUUCACACACUGUGCUUUCAACCGUAGUUCGGACAUGCACAUUAAUGCAUGCGUACCCAGGGAAAGGAACUCUUAAUGGAACUAUUCUCUCUGAAAGAUGUUUAUUACUACCCAUGUAAUAUAACAUAACUAGUUGGGUACUUGUCUGUUCAAGCAACUAUGAACCCUACGCCUGGUUUCCACGCGUACCCCGGUUUCUAUAACCGAGCGGGUAUUCAGAAACACUCUGGACUGUUGAGUUAGGAGGUCGAAGCGAAAAGGUCCGCCAUGACAAAUGAUUUACAAUCUGGCUAGGGACAAAAUAUGUCCAUCGAAGUACAUAGUCACUUUGAGUAAGACAUUUCUUCUUCUAUGCCCUCCAACAGGCUGUCUAGUCAACAGUCUUGCUGCGAAUAUUUUGCGGCUAAUUCUACCUGGUCAUAUACCAGGAUAAUGGGAAUUUCGUUCCCAUCUGAACCUACAGGUCCGACCCAGGCCAUACGAUUCGGAUCAAGCUUGGUGUACCACGUCUUUACCAUCGCUAAAGCUUCUCUCGCACCUAGUCGACAAGCAGAUAUCUUCCAUAGUCAGAAGCGCCGCCGUGCUCCCUUAAGCAGCUGUACAAGCUCCCCCAUGUCUCCUGGCAGGGAGACGGAAGGCCACAAGGCUUUGGCGACACCAUGCAUAACCUGCCGAACUUGCCCAUGCAGUUGCGAAAAGCACUUGCAGCAUAUCGCCUGAUCAUCUGGGCAUCUCCUCUCUAGGACGGCCAGUCAGCAUACCUACAGACAUAACGUUGUUAUACUAUUUCUUCGCCGAAUUAUAUAUAAAAUAAAAUAGUUCGUUCGAGCACAUACUGAAAAUGCCGCGUUGAAGCCUCUUAUUCUCCUUCACGGAGUCAGCUAGCUGAGCGUGAACAUCUUUUAAUUCUACGCUAAGACGGGUAUUGGCAUCCAGGAGAUCAUUUUUCUCAUGCCUGACCCGUGUAAGUAUACGCUCGCCAACAUCUUGAUGCCUUUGAGCUCUCUGUUCAUCCUCUUGUAGGAUAUCCGGUUUCACUCCGGAAUUAUCUGCAGAAUCUGUCAUCAGAUCGGCAAUGUGUCAAAACCACCGGUAUACGUGAUCACGUUUUUCAAUAGAGAAAAGUAUUACCAGUCGAGGACUUCUUGGAUCCCUUUAAUUUGGUAGUUUUUGCCCUUAGUUGGGUUUGAUACCUCUCCGGCUCUUGAGAUAGCAGGUUAUUCUUCUCUCAAAGAACCUGUUUAUAGAAUGAUCCUUAAAUCAGUUGUAUCAACUGUUUCAAGUCUAUGGGGCUAAUGAUAUACAUAAUUAUCAUAUUUUACUUACCCGUAUAUCUUUCAAAUACUGGUCUGUGGCUCUAGCAAGCCCAUCUCGAGCAUCUUGGAUGUACGCAUCACCCGAGCUGAAGGCAUUGAAACCUUCUUUGGAGAAAUCAGGGUCGUGGAGUGUGGUCCGCCAAUGCCGAUGAUUCAUGGCGCUCUCUAGUUCGGAGUUUGUAGCGGAUAUUCUAUCCGAAUCCUCUAUAUGAGGGCUGUCCGGUGUCGCUCCCAUAUUAACCUCCGCCCUCGAGGCCGGCCCUAGAGCCCGGAUGGUGGAGGCACGGCGAGUAGGAUCCCCGGAUAUUGUCCGGCGGAUGCUCUUCCUACUAAGACACGAAGGACAGUGUCAUACUUUAAGAUGACUGUUCUGGAGCACGUUUAAAACCAUACCUCUUUGAUAAUGGUUCUGCCGCAUUUCUGCUCGCCUUCCUUUUUGGAAGCCUACCUGGCGUAGGUGCUCCCCGUCCAUGAGUUGCCUCAGGUUCGACAUGGUGCGCCGACCGCCUUCCCUUUAAUAAACAUAAGCAUUUUGUGCUGUGGGUAAGGCGGAAGGAGGGAAUCCUUUUUGGAAAUAAGUCUCCUACAUGUGAUACUAGGAGGAGGCUAGGAUAGUCAGCAAUGAUGGCCACUUCGGUGUCGUCACAACUUGCCUGGUAGAACACCCCUUCAACAAGCUCCACAAAUAUAUCCAGAUCCACUUCGAAUCCGGGGUCAAGGGCUCGGUUACGAUCCUCUUGCUGUGGAGCCGGGUUGUUGAUCUCCUUGGAAAACUUCCGCCAUUCCUGUUAAGGAAGGGCAGAGUAAAAAAAUUAUGCUAAAGGACUGGAAGAACGGAUAGAGUUGAGUAAGGGGUAGCAACUUAUGCAGUUGGGACGGUUGUACAUGGAAAAUCCGUCCCGUGGCUUAAUACAGAUGAACUCCUCUUCUUAUCCUUUAAUAACUCGGAAAGUAUUUUCACUAGAGCAUUGGUGGAGUCCGGGCCUUUCCUACCACAUCGGGGAGCGUCGUCUUCACCAUUGAAGUACCACAUGGGAUGCCCUCGGUACAGGAGUGGUUGUACCCCCCGCAUUAUGCAUACGGACAUAACCUCGAUUAUUGUUAAUCCGGAUGUAGCAGACAUCCGUAUCUGGCUCAUCAGUUGCGGGACCUUUCUGCUAUCUUCCUCCUUGGGGCUCCGGGGACGCCAAUUGCGGCCCUUCACCAAUGGAGUAUUUGUGAACUCAGGAAGACCCAUUCGAACUGGGUUAGGAAGGGAGACGUCCUCUAUGUAGAACCAUUCGGAAGGCCAUUCUUCGGAUACCUUCUUCGGUGUGCUGGAUUGGUAUCCGGUCCCCGCGAUGCACCAUAUCUCGGCUCCACCAACUUGGAAUAUUGAUCCCUCUUGGUUACGAGGGACGAGGUAGAACAACCUCUUCCAUAGCUCAAAAUGAGCUUCGCAACCCAAAAAAAGCUCGCAAAGGGCGACAUCGCCUGCGAUAUGCAGGAUCGAGUCUGGGGUGAAGUUAUGUAGCUGGAGGCCAUAGUAGUCCAAGAACCUGCGGAGGAAUGGAUGGAUUGGAAAUCCGACGCCCCUCAGCAGAUAAGGGACAAGGCAUACUCGCUCCCCCGCAGAUGGAUUAGGGAAAAUCUCCGCUUGCUCCCCGCCGUCAAAAGUAGCUAAUCCGGCUCGGACGGGGACUAGGUAUGCAGGUGGGAGGAACCCCUGGGUUUGCAGCUUCACUAAUUGACCAUGGGAUGCGGUGCACUUCUCCCAAUCACCCGGCUUGGCGCUGUGAGGGCGGGAGGAGGAGCUGCGGGGUCCGGCCAUGUUGGGAUGGUAUUUUCAGGCGCGCUCUGAUGAUUCUUCGCUUGGGGAGGAUGGUGUGGAUUAGAUCUGAAGAUCCCCGUCUCUUUAAAUAGACAGUUUAUUUAAGUAGUUAGGGUGGCAAGUGUAAAAAAUCCACGACUCCUCACAUUCGCUUGACACGUGGAAGCUGGAAAUUAUUCAAGUACAGAAGCCAAGGGAGUGUAACAUUAAAUGAGGAGCCGGUUACUGCUCUUUGCAACAGGUACGCUGGAAGAAUUCGGAGGAAGAAUCAGCCUUGCAAUGCAGAAGACAAUCUGCGUGCCGGACUCAUCGACAUUGAAGCCUGGUUCGGGGGCUACUGAGGGAGUCCUGGAUUAGGGGGUCCUCAGACAUCCGGACUAUAUACCUUGGCCGGACUGUUGGACUAUGCAGAUACAAGAUAGAAGACUUCAUCCCGUGUCCGGGUGGGACUCUCCUUUGCGUGGAAGGCAAGCUUGGCGAUUCGGAUAUGUAGAUUCCCUUCUCUAUAACCGACCUGAUGUAACCCUAACCCCCUCCGGUGUCUAUAUAAACCAGAGGGUUUAGUCCGUAGGACAAGAACAACAAUCAUAAUCAUAGGCUAGCUUCUAGGGUUAGCCUCAUUGAUCUCGUGGUAGAUCAACUCUUGUAAUAAUCAUAUCAUCAAGAUCAAUCAAGCAGGAAGUAGGGUAUUACCUUCAUAGAGAGGGCCCGAACCUGGGUAAACAUCGUGUCCCCCGCCUCCUGUUACCAUUAGCCUUAGACGCACAGUUCGGGACCCCCUACGCGAGAUCCGCCGGUUUUGACACCGACAGUACUCUUGCGCAAGUUGAUCAUCAGCUACCGAUAACCUGGACUGCCUUUCUCAAUAUGCGUCAGGAGAUCCGAGACCCACAGAUGCAUCAACAACUGCAGCAUGAUCUGGUGGAGUACCUAUGAGGCUCAAGAGCAACACCUAGCUCGACGUGUGAUGAAAUAAGAGUUUUUAUUUGUUGAACUUAAUUUGUAUUGAAUUAUUUGUUGCUGAACUAUAUGAUUUCUAUUGAUUUUCGGUAAUGAACUAUGUGAUAAAAAAUUACUUCUAUUGAAUUUGCGUCCAACCACGGCGAAUAAUGGCCGAUUUGCGCCGAUAUCGGGCUGAUUUGUUGUCGAAACUGGGCCGAAAAGCGGGCGCUUUGCGGAACAGAUGGGGACCCAAUCGUCCCUAGCGCCGAUUUUUGCUCCGGCUCGCCCCUAGGUGACGAUUUUCAGGCCUUCUCGGGGGGCAACGGCUGGAGAUGCUCUUAGCAGGUUAGUUCGUGCAUGUAGUUGUGUCAUUUUAGUAGUGGAUGCUGGCCGAGUCAUCCGUAGGAGCUAUUCGAGGAGGUGGGCGUGCGUGUGUGUGUGUGCGUGCGUGGUUUAGGUUAGUGGCCUCCGGCACUGUGUGUGUCUGCUACUUAAGCGGCUGUAAUCAGUUUGUGAGAUGCGGUGUGUCACCGAGCAGUUUGAGCUGGGAAUAGAAAAGGCCGUACAUGCGGCAAUGCCGUUCGUCACCUGAAAAAAA
rnacentral:lncRNA from 1 species